UUGUGCUUGCCACCGGGACAGACGGAUCCAGGCUUCCGUCGAGCUCACGCGUCACCAUCGCCGCCAGGAGGCACAAACGGAUGAAGACGUCGAGCGCCACCAUCCGCGCCGCUUCUUCUCAACGCCUCUCUUGCGUGUGCGCAGCUUUGAAAGGUGAUCUUCCUCCUGUAUUUUUCUCUUCCCCAAACCCUCUUCUCUUCCCCACUGCUGCUCCUUCUCUGAUCUGACCUUCAUGCUAACUCAAGGAGGUGACUAGGUUGGAGCGGACUAUGACAAGGCAUACGAGGGGUUGGAGCAGGACUGCAAGACCAGGUGAGGACAAGCGUUGUUUCAUAUCCACCUAAAUCAUCCCAUGGUUUGCAAGGUCUGCUUCUAUGCAAAAAGUUCUUCCAGUGAGCACCCUAGCCAAUUAAUUACAGUUAAUCCUUUAUGUCUGAUUUAUUAUUAGUUGAUUACUUGCUUCUAUGCGGUGAAUAAAUGAGUAAGAAGUUUUAGUUGAUAGAGGCAUAGCCUUCCUGAAUAUCUUAAUUCUAAAACUGGUUUCAUGCAAUUUUGGAACUGGAUAGUUAUUCAGUCUGAUUUGUUCGUGCAGUCCAUGGUAUCCCAUCUGCAAGCUACACCUUGUGCAGAUUUGGCUACCACAUAAUGUGGUGGUGUUUCACUUCGCUCAGUCAAGGUUUCAGUCAAAAUUUGAAUUAAACAUUUUCUUCCAAUACAGAAUGUGUUGAUUUGUCUUCUCACAAAAAAAAAAAAGAUUGUGUUAAUUGUCCUAACCUUUAUGUUAUGGAAAUAUUCUCAUCACAUGUUUACUGGUUCUAUUGGGCAUGCAGUGUAAAAACUGUCCCCAUCAUUAAUCUUUUGAGAAAUGUAUGUCACACGAGUCAUCAGCCACACUAACAUAAUUAAAUUCUUUGACCUUGUGUAGUCUACGUUCAAGAAGACGCUUCCAGAACAAAGGAAAAUGACGAAUGGCAAAUUUAUACUGAUACUUCUCUGGGCAAAUGGUCUUUCCCCCUGAAGUGAUAAUACAAGCUGAUAAUCUGAUGUUAAACUGAUGGUUGUAUUAUUUGUAGCAAUUCUUCAAAUUUUGAUGUUUAUGUGUUUGUUUGGACGCGCAGGUGCAAAUGAUUUUAGCUAUUAGGUUUAGAUUGUAGGUAUUGUUGGAAAAUAAUUCUUGGGUAUGUCUAUAUGCCUGUAUGUACGUUCUCAUUUGAAACAAAUAUACUUCAUUACCUAUUAUUUUUCCUCCUAUUUAAAGAUCACAAUGCAUGUCUCCAUCCGAUUAUUCCCUCCUUCAUUAACUUGAAGUAUUGCUAACUAGAUUUUGUGUGUGCAGGAGGUUAGCCGCCUUAUGAUCAAACCUGGCUCUGUUCAACAGUGUCCGGUAUGCACUUCUUGGCUUCUCUCUGUUUCUAUAUCUGUUUUUUUUGUUGUUUCAAUUCAGAUCAAACCAAUAGCCUUUGCAUACAAGUUGGAGAGGUUAUUUCUCGCGUGGAGGUCUUUUCCCUUAAGGCACUACAUUUUUUCAGUGCCCCAAGCACUUUCCUCAUGUUUGCGGGUUGUGACCAGGAAAUUUUACACCACCGAGAUUAUGAUUAGGGCAGAGCAGCAUCCGGUGGCGAGGUUGGAAAAGAGAAGGAGAGAGAUCCGUGAUUGGGUAAUGACCCGCUGUGGUUGUGGCCAAGGAGCCAGCUCGGAUUUGUUUGCCGGUGCGUGUGUCGGUUGAUUUGGCCGAGAAAGAUGCGGCGGGCAAAGCAGCAGGGAAGAGGAUCUGCCGCUUGACCUUCCCGGCUCGAUCUGAUCCUUAGGAGAGAAGGCAUAGGAGGGAAGGGAAGAUGGAUGAGGUUGUUUUGGCAGGGAUGAAAAGGUGUGAAAAAAGGAUUUCUUCUCUACUAAGAGGUGCACCGACACAACCAGCGCCCACACACGCGCAGCAGCAGCUGAUGAUACUCGGGACACCAAUUGUAAAUGGCCCAUGUGCAGCCAUCUCACAACUCGCAGGAAGCAGGAUAUUGGGCCUUGGUGAUCUAGGGGUGCAAGGUAUUGACAUUGCUAUAGGGAAGCUGGAUUUAUAUGUUGCUGCUACUGGAAUAAAUCCUCAGAAGGUAUGCUUUUGUUGUUCCUAAGGAAACUGUUAGACUUACCUUGUUCUCCAUCUUCCAUUUUUUACAUCUAUAUUUUCAUAUUUGACAUCUCUAAUUUCAAAUAACUAUAAUUUGGUAUUUGACCUACAUGGAUUUUAUUGACAAACAAAAAAUAAAGUUUUGCUACUUAAUCUGAUUGUGCCAAUCAACCUUCUCUCAUAAUAAUUCAGGGAGAUAAAAGUUCUUUUAGAAUGUUACCACUGAACCCAGAUAAUGAUGUUUGCCAAACUGAAGCUUCAAAUACGAGACAAUGAUCACGUUUGUGUUGCGUAACCUUACAACGCUGAUUUCUUAGAUGUUAUGAAGUUUCAAAGUGUUCUACUGCUACCUACUCACUUUGUUUCUUUUGUAUAAGGCAUAUUUUGAUUUGUUGAAAUAAUGCUUUAAAUAAUAAAUACUCUAUCAAUAGGUGGUGCAUGUGAAUAAGUUAAUAUUGGAUUCAUUUCUUUGGGGAGCUAAGCCAUGUAUUUGGAAUUUCAGUAACGGAGUUAGUUUGUGUAAAAUAGAUAAAUGUCUGCUAGCUUCUUAGGCAUUUAAAAAAAAACGAAUCCCUUGCUACAUAUACCAGGGUGUUUAUAUCCAGGUACAGCCUUGGCUUUGUUUGUAAAGAAGCAAGUAGACAUUCUACUUUUGUGUAAGCUGAAUAUAUGCUUAUCGGUUUCCAUCUAAUGGCAGCUCUCUCUCCCUUUUCCAUUUAUCUAUUUUUGUAGAUGGUAGAGCAACCUUAUUAUACAUACACACUGAAAUUGAUUCUGUUGAAAGCUUAUUCACAUUUUCUUUCGUUCUUAUUGAUCCAUCAAGGAAUGGAGAUCAUAUACUCUUAUAACAUACACUCAUAUUUAUGACUUUUGUAAGCGCCGUGUCCCUCCGGAUGCGUCUCUUUGGAGACUACAAAUAUGUAACUUGUCAUCAUUAAUAGACAGUUUUCAAUACUAUCGAUUGUCUCUCGUUUUCUUUCAACACGUUAUCAGCACAUGCGCCUCCCGAGCGGAGGCGGUCGGCUGGCUGAUGCGGCCCCUCUCCGACGGCACCGAUGUACGGUGAGCCGCAGGCCUGGGAGGCUUGGUGCCCAUGCGCCUGUCCACGCCGUGCUGGGGUGCUUCGCGCUAGUGUGACAGCUGGCUGUGGCGGAGGUUGGUGGUGGUGGUGCCGACGGCCGCCGCUUGAGUCGGAUUGGGGAAGAUUAGUCGAUGGGAACGAGAGAUCAGAGAUGUCCCGUUCCGGAACGAUGGGCUGUUGAAAAGCCACCAAGCGAGGCCUAGUUGGGCACUAGCCCAUGCUUUUUUUUGCGAACUCAAAAACUUGUAUUACUCAAUCCUAGUAUCAAUACAAUCCUCAGCAACGACCUCCAAAACUUCAGGAGGACCUGACCCUAACCAAGUCAUAGUACGAUUAUUAGAACGGCCAAAAUACGCUAGCUUAUCACUCGCCUUAUUCUGUGAACGAGCGAUAUGAGUAAUACAAGCUUGAUGAUGGUUUAGUAAAACCCUAAUCUCAUUAACCAACGACGAAUAAAGUGAAUGAUCUACAUCACCACUAGUGAUCAUAGCAACGACAACAGACGAGUCCAUCUCAACUUGAAUUGGAAGAGAAGUAUGCUGGACCGCCGAAGAUAACCCCUCCAAGCAUGCAUGAAGUUCCGCCUCCAAAGCGUCUCGGCAAUACUGUAGUGCCCUGCAAGCAGAGAAAAUUAUUUUGCCAACAUCAUUCCGCAAGAUCAUGCCCGCACCCGCAUUAUCACAUGCCACAAAGGCUCCAUCUGUGUUUAGCUUAGUCCACCCUUGCUUAGGCUUCUCCCAUCCAGGCAUUUUUGAACUAUGCAUAUCCCUUUGUCCUUUCUUCUCCACUGUGAUGUAUGACUUCCCUUUAACUGGGUCGGCACCACUGUCAAUCGUGAUGGUCAUAAGAGAGGCAAAGUAACUCUGUAGAUAUCUUACGGAUGUAUCCAUCGGUGGCGUCGGCUUGUAAUGCACCACUUCAUUGCGAAUAUACCACGCUCUCCAGAAAACAAGGAGGAUCAUACACCGUUCCAUAUCACUUCUAGGAGCUAGCAAUUGCAGGAGCCACUCCUUUCCACAGUUAGUAAUUGUCUGAAGCCGGGGUAAGUUCCAGACUUUUGCCAUAUUCAAAUAAAGAUCUCUUCCUAGUUGACACCUCAAGAACGGGUGAAAAUUGUCCUCCGUGUCUACGCCACAGACUGGACAAAUACUUGUGGUCUCCAAGCCAAUCUUGUGCUUGUUCUUCCACGUUGGCAACCCAUCCGUGGCAACUCUCCAUGCAAAAUUUGCCACUGUUGGCGGCAGUCCACAUUUCCAGAUGAACUUCUAGCAGCUCCUCUCACCAGAAGGCAUCGAGCUAGAGGCCGAUAUAUUGGACCUGUGCGCCUCGUCAAACGCCAGAUGAUACGCACUUUUUACUGAGAAAACCCCCAACUUACCUGGUCCCCAUGCAAGGACAUCUUCGCACUGCCUGGGUGAAACUCUGAUCUUUAGGAUCUCGACCACAUCAGCUUGCAUGAAAUAUUGGUUCAGAAUUUGUACUUUCCAGGAGCCGUUCUCAUUCAGCAGAUCUGAAACAUAUCUAAAUCGGCACACCCCUUGCCGUGAGAUCGGUUUAUACGAGUAAGGGAGGGGAAUCCAGCUAUCCCUCCACACCCGCAUACUUCUUCCGUUGCCAGUUCUCCAAAUUAAACCCUUUUUCAAAAGCUCCAAACCAUGACUAAUGGCCGACCAGGACGAUGAUGCAUUACCAGAAAACACAAUAUCCUCUAACUUACCAGUCGGGUAAUAUUUGGCUUUGAGUAGACGAGCACACAAACUCUCUGGCCUUGUGAUUAAUCUCCAUGCCUGACGAGCCAGAAGGGCUUGGUUAAAUAUUCGAAAAUCUCGGAAACCAAUCCCACCUCUUUCUUUUGGCUGCAUAAGAUGAUCCCAACCCUUCCAAUGAACCUUCCUCUUCCCCUUCUCUGAGCCCCAAUAAAAAUUCCUCACCAUUCUUGUAAGAUCGUCACACACCGAAAAUGGUAGCUUGAACACACCCAUUAUAUACGUGGGUAAAGCUUGCGCGACAGACUUGAUAAGCACCUCUCUACCAGGCUGAGCCAAAAAGCCAUCCCCCCACUGGACAAGUCUUUUGGUAAGACUUGUUUGCAAGUUCUGAAACUUACCUUUCGACAUUCGUCCUUCGGGCGUGGGGAGACCCAAAUACUUCUCCUCAAAAACCAAACUUGUGACGUGUAGAACGUCUCUUACAUGCUCUUGAUUUGUAACCGGGCAUGACUCACCAAAAAAUAUCGAACACUUCUCAUAGUUCAAACUUUGGCCGUAGCCGUGCUGUAUAGAUCCAAGGCUGCUUUUACCUGCUCCGCUUGGUCCCUCGAAGCCUGAAAAAACAGCAUGGUAUCAUCUGCAAAAAGCAAGUGGGAUAUGCCCGGGGCUCUCCUGCAAAUUUUUACUGAAACAAUAUCGCCAACUUGCACUUUAUUCUUCAAAAUAGCUGAAAGUCCAUCUGCCACAAAUAAGAACAAGAACGGAGAGAGUGGGUCUCCUUGCCGUAGCCCACGCGACGGUGCAAAUGAAUCCAGGAGGGUUCCAUUUAAUUUUAUCGAAUACCUCACCGAUGUGACACACGCCAUUAUCCAGUCAAUCCAUCGAUGGGAAAACCCUAACCUUUGCAUCACCUACUUCAAGAAAGCCCAAUCCACUAUAUCAUAAGCCUUAGACAAGUCCAACUUAUACGCACAAAAACUCCUAGAUGGAUCCUUCUCUUGUUUAAUAUAGUGUAAACACUCAAAGGCAACCAAUGCAUUAUCUGUAAUCAUCCUGCCUGGUAUAAACGCACUUUGUUCAGCCGAAAUUAUGUCAUCCAGCAAGGGCCUUAAUCUGUUAACCAGGCAUUUGGAUAUUAUCUUGUAUGUGACAUUACAAAGACUUAUAGGCCUAUAGUCCGCCAUCUUUGAGGGAUUGGAUAUUUUUGGAAUAAGCACAAUGGAUGUAUCAUUAGCACCCUCAAGCAUGACUCCCGUACUGAAAAAAUCCUGGACUGCAGCAAUCACACCCUCCUUCACCGUACUCCAGUUCCGUUGGAAGAAACGAGCGGGAAACCUGCCUGGGCCUGGUGCCUUCAACGGCCCAAUCUGGAACAAGGCAUCGGAAAUCUCCUUAUCAGUAAACGGUGCACAUAAUCUAUCAUUAUCAGCCUGUGUGAUCACACGUUCAAACAAGUUUACUACUUCGGAUGCCUGCAAGUUAGUAUCCACAGCAAAAAUAUUCUGAAAGUAUUCAUUUGCAAUCUGACUCAUUGCUGUAAACUCCGUAUGCACUAUCCCAAUGCUGUCAGUUAACUCCCUUAUCUUAUUCUUCCUCGCCCUCCAAACUGCUUUACUGUGAAAAUAUUUUGUAUUAUGAUCUCCUUCCUUAAGCCAAGCAAUUCUCGAUCUUUGCAUCCACAUCAUCUCUUCUUGAUACAAUAACUCAUUCAUUUUAUCCAUCACUUCCCUUAUAUCUUCCCUAUUCGCAUUCAUAUUCAUAAGCUCCUCCAGUUGGCUUCUCGACUUGGCCAGUUCUCGAGUCACAUUGCCAAAUUUCCUACUCCAUGACCGUAACGCAGUCAUUGUUUUUGCCAAAGCUUCUUUCAGCUGCGGGAGGCUGUGAAUCUCUCCUACCGCCACCCAUGCAUCUUCCACCACUUGUGGCAACUCCGAAUCCCUCUCCCAAAAAACCUCAUACCUCCUACACUUCUCCUUCACCGGACCCGGGUCCGGUUCUCCUUUAAGAAACAGAACUAGGUGGUAUGAACAUGGAGACGGUAUGUGUUCCACUGCAGCAAACGUGAACAAAUUUCGCCAAUCAUUUGUAGCUACCGCACGGUCCAAUCUCACCUUGACGUUUGCCGACCUCGCUCUUCUAUUAUCAUAUGUGAAAGGCAGGCCCGUGAACCCAAGAUCGAUUAGUUCACACACCUCCAAGGUAUCCCUGAAUGCUAUCAUUUGUGUUUCUGCCCUCGGCGUGAUCGAUAAAUGCUCAAAAUCCCACAUGGCUUCAUUAAAGUCACCGAUAACCAACCAAGGCAAAUUAUUAACAACUUUUAGAUCUUGUAGCUUAGUCCACAUUAGGUGUCUGUUUUCCACCCGAGGCUCCCCAUAUACAAAAGUAGCUCUCCACUCCGGUGCACCUUCACGGGCUUUGAUGACAAUGUCAAUGAAUCUGUCAUCCGUGUCCAAAACAUCCACAACACAAUCCUCUCUCCAAUAUAGUGCCAAGCCACCACUCAAUCCAUUGCUAUCCACUCCACAAAAGCCCUUCAACCCAAGUUUAGCUCGAAUCCAUUUCAUCUUCUCUGCCUUUUGUCUUGUUUCACACAGAAAGACCAACAAGGGGGAACGCGACUUACACAACGUCGCUAGCUCACGAACUGUCCGGGUGUUCCACCCUCCCCGGCAGUUCCAACUAAGGCAAUUCAUUGGACCCGGCGGUCCUCCUCUCCGGAGGCCGCCUGCGCAGAUGUGUCCAUAUCAACUCCCUCACUCUCCUCCACCCGUCUUCACCUGCUUCCUUCGCUUCACUAUAGGGUUCUUGCCCGGUGUUACUUUAGGAUCCGACCGGUUCCCCGAAUUGAUUGACUCCCCAUACUCCAGACGCAGAACCGCAUCAGCCACUUUCCCCCCCAGGUUUUGUCCGUCUGGGCCUCGCACAUUUGCCGCACCAUCAUCAUCCACGAGCCUCUUCCUCGCUGUGCGUACCUCCGCCUCUUUCAUCAUCUUGAACUACAUGAUAUCCAUCCCCACUUGCAGCUCCAAACCUCCCUCCCUUUGCACCUCCAUGUUACCCCUCUCUUCCGCACCUUCUACUCUACCUCCUCUAGAUCCUCCUCCCCUACCUCCUCUUCUUCCUCCCCGUCCCCCCCCUAACGGGCCAGCACCCCCUCUACCUCCAUCACUCCCUCCACCUCUACCCCCUCUGCCUCCAGACCCCACAGGUUCACUGACCCAAUGCAGCCAGUCUUCCCAUUCGCACAGUGCAAUAUCAUGUACACCAUCACCACAUUCCUCCACAACAUGUCCCAUACGCCCGCAGAAGAAACAGAAAUCUGGAAGUUUUUCAUAGAACACCGAAUACCUCUUCCUCUCUUUCAAGGUGAUAUGCACAAACCUUACUAAUGGAGUUGUAACAUUAACAAACACCCGAACUCUCAAAAAAUUUGAAGGGUUGAUCCUUCCUUCAUUCACCGUGACCGUAAACGGAGGUUCUCCCACCUUCUUUGCUACCUUCUCUGCCAGCUCCUUCUUCCUCGUCAAACCAUCCGGCAAUCCUUUUAUUCUUGCCCAUAGGGGAUACAUGUUUAGCUCAUAUUCUUCUACAUCCGAAAAACCAUCGUACUCGACUAGCACCACCUGUUGGGGAACAUAGCAGAAAUUCAAAAAAAUUCUACGCAUCACCAAGAUCAAUCUAUGGAGUAAUCUAGCAACGAGGGGAAGGAGAGUGCAUCUACAUACCCUUGUAGAUCGCUAAGCGGAAGCGUUCAAGUGAACGGGGUUGAUGGAGUCGUACUCGUCGUGAUCCAAAUCACCGAUGAUCCUAGUGCCGAACGGACGUCACCUCCGUGUUCAACACACGUGCAGCCCGGUGACGUCUCCUACGCCUUGAUCCAGCAAGGGGACAAGGAGAGGUUGGGGAAGACUCCAUCCAGAAGCAGCACAACGGCGUGGUGGUGGUGGAGGAGCGUGGUACUCCAGCAGGGCUUCGCCAAGCACCACAAGAGACGAGGAGGGAGAGGGGUAGGGCUGCGCCAAGAAGGAGAUGUUCUCGUGUAUAUGGCAGCCCAAAACCCCCACUAUAUAUAGGGGAAAGGGAGGGGCUGCGCCCCCACCUAGGUUUCCACCCCUAGGGGUGGUGGCCAGCCCUAGAUCCCAUCUAGGGGGCGGCCAAGGGGGGAAGAGAGGGGGGCGCACCACUAGGUGGGCCUUAGGCCCAUCUGAGCCUAGGGUUUCCCCUUUUUUCCCUUCUCUCUUUGCCUUGGGCCCUGGUGGGGGGGCGCACCAGCCCACCUGGGGCUGGUCCCCUCUCACACUUGGCCCACGCAGCCCUCUGGGGCAGGUAGCCCCACCUGGUGGACCCCCGGGACCCUCCUGGUGGUCCCGGUACGUUACCGAUAGCACCUGAAACUUUUCCGGUGACCAAAACAGGACUUCCCAUAUAUAAAUCUUUACCUCCGGACCAUUCCGGAACUCCUCGUGAUGUCCGGGAUCUCAUCCGGGACUCCGAACAACAUUCGGUAACCGCGUACAUACUUUCCCUAUAACCCUAGCAUCAUCGAACCUUAAGUGUGUAGACCCUACGGGUUCGGGAGUCAUGCAGACAUGGCCGAGACAACUCUCCGGUCAAUAACCAACAGCGGGAUCUGGAUACCCAUGUUGGCUCCCACAUGCUCCACGAUGAUCUCAUCGGAUGAACCACGAUGUCAAGGACUUAAUCAAUCCCGUAUACAAUUCCCUUUGUCUAGCGGUACGAUACUUGCCCGAGAUUCGAUCGUCGGUAUCCCGAUACCUUGUUCAAUCUCGUUACCGGCAAGUCUCUUUACUUGUUCUGUAACACAUCAUCCCAUGAUCAACUCCUUGAUCACAUUGUGCACAUUAUGAUGAUGUCCUACCGAGUGGGCCCAGAGAUACCUCUCCGUUUACACGGAGUGACAAAUCCCAGUCUCGAUUCGUGCCAACCCAACAGAUACUUUCGGAGAUACCUGUAGUGUACCUUUAUAGCCACCCAGUUAAGUUGUGACGUUUGGCACACACAAAGCACUCCUACGGUAUCCGGGAUUUGCACAAUCUCAUGGUCUAAGGAAAUGAUACUUGACAUUAGAAAAGCUUUAGCAUACGAACUACACGAUCUUUGUGCUAGGCUUAGGAUUGGGUCUUGUCCAUCACAUCAUUCUCCUAAUGAUGUGAUCCCGUUAUCAACGACAUCCAAUGUCCAUGGUCAGGAAACCGUAAUCAUCUAUUGAUCAACGAGCUAGUCAACUAGAGGCUUACUAGGGACAUGGUGUUGUCUAUGUAUCCACACAUGUAUCUGAGUUUCCUAUCAAUACAAUUCUAGCAUGGAUAAUAAACAAUUAUCAUGAACAAUGAAAUAUAUAAUAAUAACUAAUUUAUUAUUGCCUCUAGGGCAUAUUUCCAACAGUCUCCCACUUGCACUAGAGUCAAUAAUCUAGUUCACAUUGCCAUGUGAUUAACACUCACAGGUCACAUCGCCAUGUGACCAACAUCCAAAGAGUUUACUAGAGUCACUAAUCUAGUUCACAUCACUAUGUGAUUAAUACUCAAUGAGUUCUGGGUUUGAUCAUGUUAUGCUUGUGAGAGAGGUUGUAGUCAACGGGUCUUGCCAUAUUCAGAUCCCUAUGUACUUCUCAAAACUUUAUGUCAUAUCGUAGAUGCUGCUACCACGUUCCACUUGGAGCCAUUCCAAAUUGUUGCUCCAUUAUACGUAUCCGAUAUCUCUACUCAGAGCUAUCCGGAUAGGUGUUAAGCUUGCAUCGACGUAACUCUUUACGUCGAACUCUUUAUCACCUCCAUAACCGAGAAACAUUUCCUUAUUCCUCUAUGGAUAAUUUUGACCGCUAUCUGGUGAUCUACUCCUAGAUCACCUUUGUACCCUCUUGCCAGACAUGUGGCAAGGCACACAUCAGGUGCGGUACUCAGCAUGGCAUACCGUAUAGAGCCUAUGACAAGAGCAUAGGGGACGACCUUCAUCCUUCCUCUUUCUUCUGCCGUGGUCAAUCUUUGAGUCUUACUCAACUUCAGACCUUACAGCUCAGGUAAGAACCCCUUCUUUGACUGAUCUAUUUUGAACUCCUUCAAAAACAUGUCAAGGUGUGCGUUCUUUCAAAGUAUCAUCAAGCGUCUUGAUCUAUCUAUAGAUCUUGAUGCCCAAUAUGUAAGCAGCUUUAUCCAGGUCUUCCUUUGAAAAACACUCUUCAAACAACCAUUUAUGCUUUCCAGAAAUUCUACAUUAUUUCGAAUCAGCAAUAUGUCAUCCACAUAUACUUAUCAGAAAUGUUGUGGUGCUCCCACUCACUUUCUUGUAAAUACAAGUUUCUAGCAAACAUUGUAUAAACCUAAAAGCUUUGAUCACUCCAUCAAAACAUAUAUUCCGAUUCCGAGAUGCUUGCUCUAGUCCAUAGAAGGAUUGCUGGAGCCAGCAUACCUUUUAGCAUCCUUAGGAUCGUCAAAACCUUUUAUUGUAUCACAUACAACUUUUCUUACGAAAACUGGUAAGAAAACUUGUUUUGACAUCCAUCUGUAAGAUUUCAUAAUCGAAAAAUACAACUAAUGCUAACAUGAUUCCGACGGACUUAAGCAUCGCUACGGGUGAGAAAUUCUCAUCGUAGUCAACUCCUUGAACUUGUGAAAAGACUCUUUCCCACAAGUCGAGCUUCAUAGACGGUAACAUUACCGCCCACAUCCGUCUUCUUCUUAAAGAUCCAUUUAUCUCAAUGGCUUGCCGAUCAUCGAGCAAGUCCACCAAAGUCCAUUCUUUGUUCUGAUACAUGGAUCCUGUCUCAGAUUUCAUGGCUUCUAACCAUUGGAAUACGGGCCCACCAUCGCUUCUCCAUAGCUCGUAGGUUCAUUGUUGUCUAACAACAUGAUUCUAAGACAGGAUUACCGUACCACUUAGGAGUAGUACAUAUCCUUGUCGACCUACGAGGUUCGAUAACAACUUGAUCCGAAGCUUCAUGAUCACUAUCAUUAACUUCCUAUUCAAUAGACGUAGGUGCCACAGAAAACAUCUUUCUGUGUUGCAUCACUCUCUGGUUGAAGUAAAGGUUCGACAACCUCAUCAAGUUCUAUCUUCCUCCCACUCAAUUCUUUCGAGAGAAACUCCUUCUCUAGAAAGGACCCGUUCUUAGCGACAAACAAUUUUCCCUCGAAUCUGAGAUAGAAGGUAUACCCAACUGUCACCUUUGGGUAUCCUAUGAAGAUGUGUUUGUCCGGUUUGGGUUCGAGCUUCUCCGGCUGAAGCCUUAAGCAUCGCAGCCCCAAACAUUAAGAAACAACAACUUCGGUUUCUUGCCAAACCAAUGUUCAUACGACGCCGUCUCAACGGACUUAGAUGGUGUUCUAUCUAAAGUGAAUGCAGCUGUCUCCAAUGCAUAACCUCAAAAUGAAAACGGUAGAUUGAUAAGAGACAUCAUAGAUCGCACCAUAUCUCAUAAGGUUCGAUUACGACGUCCGGACACAUCAUAACUCAGUGGUGUUCUAGGUGGCUUCAACUGUGAAACAAUUCCACAAUGUCUUAAGUGAUUGCCAAACUCAUAACUCAGAUAUUCUCAUUGAUCAGAUCGUAGGAAUUUGAUCUUCUUGUUAUGAUGAUUCUUAACUUCACUCUGAAAUCGCUUGAACUUUUCAAACGUUUCAGACUUGUGCUUCAUUAAGUAAAUAUAUCUAUAUCUACUCAAAUUGUCAGUGAAGAUGAGAAAAUAGCGAUAUCCACCGCACGCUUCAAUUCUCAUUGGAUCACACGCAUCAGCAUGUAUGAUUUCCAACAAGUCACUUGUCCGUUUCAUUGUACCUGAAAGCGGGGUCUUAGUCAUCCUGCCCAUGAGGCAUGGCUCGCAUGUGUCAAGCGAUUCAAAAUCAAGUGACUCCAAACAUCCAUCGACAUGGAGUUUCUUUAUGCAUCUUACGCCAAUAUGACCUAAGCGGUAGUGCCACGAGAAAGUGGUACUAUCAUUAUUAACUCUACAUCUUUUGGCGUGAACAUGUGUAUUACCACGACCGAGAUUCAAUGAACCAUUCACAUAGGGUGCAUGACCAUGAAAGGUAUCAUUCAUGUAAACAGAAUAACCAUUAUUCUCUAACUUAAAUGAAUGACCAUAUUGCAAUGAACAUGAUCUAAUCAUAUUCAUGCUCAACGUAGACACCAGAUAACAUUUAUCUAGGUUCAAUACUAAUCCCGAAGGCAGAUGGAGCGUGCGAUGGUGAUCUCAUCAACUUUGGAAACACUUCCAACACACAUCGUCACCUCGCCCUUAGCUAGUCUCUGUUUAGUCCGUAUCUUUUGCUUCAAGUCACCAGUAAUAGCAACUGAACCGGUAUCCAAUACCCAGGUGCUACCAGGAGUACUAGCGAGGUACACAUUAAUAACACGUAUAUACUUUGUUGAAGUUGCCAACCUUCUUAUCUACCAUGCAUUUGGGGUAAUUCCGCUACCAGUGACCGUUCCCCUUACAAUAGAAGCACUUAGUCUCGGGUUUGGGUUCAACCUUGGGUUCCUUCACUGGAGCGGCAACUGGUUUGCCAUCCAUGAAGUUUCCCUUCUAGCCCUUGCCCUUCUUGAAACCAGUGGUCUUGUUAAACCAUCAACACUUGAUGCUCCUUCUUGAUUUCUACCCUUUACGGUCUUAAGCACCGCGAACAGCUCCGGGAUCAACUCCAUCCCUUGCAUGUCAUAGUUCAUCACGAAGAUCUAGUAGCUUAGUGAUAGUGGCUAGAGAACUCUAUCAAUCACUAUCUUAUCUGGAAGUUUAACUCCCACUUGAUUUAAGUGAUUGUAGCACCCAGACAUUCUUACUAGCUGAGCUAUUCUCUUCCAUCUUGUUGGCUAAAGAACUUUUCAGAGGUCUCACACCUCUCAACACGGGCAUGAGCCUGAAAUCCCAAUUUUAGCUCUUGGAACAUCUCAUAUGUUCUAUGGCGUUUAAAACGUCAUUGGAAUCCCGAUUCUAAGCCGUAAAGUAUGGUGCACUAAACUAUCAAGCAGUCAUCAGGACGUGUCUGUCAGGUGUUCACAACAUCCACAGACGAUGUUGUAGGGGUUUGCACAUCGAGCGGUGCAUCAAAGACGUAAGCCUUCUAUGUAGAAGUGAGGACACUCCUCGGACUACGACCCAGUCCGCAUCAUUGCUUACAAUAUCUUUCAACUUAAUCUUUCUCUAGGAACGUAUUGAAACAGGGAGCUACAACGUGAGCUAUUUAUCUACAACAUAUUUGCAAAGACAAUUUAGACUAUGUUCAUGAUAAUUGAGUUCAUCUAAUGAACUCCCACUCAGAUAGACAUCCCUCUAGUCAUCUAAGUGAAACAUGAUCCGAGUCAACUAGGCCGUGUACGAUCAUCACGUGAGACGGACUAGUCAACAUCGGUGAACAUCUUCAUGUUGAUCGUAUCUUCUAUACGACUCAUGCUCGACCUUUCGGUCUUCCGUGUUCCGAGGCCAUGUCUGUACAUGCUAGGCUCGUCAAGUCAACCUAAGUGUUUUUGCUGUGUAAAUCUGGCUUACACCCGUUCUAUUCGAACGUUAGAAUCUAUCACACCCGAUCAUCACGUGGUGCUUCGAAACAAUGAACCUUCGCAACGGUGCACAGUUAGGGGGAACACCUUUCUUGAAAUUUUAGUGAGGGAUCAUCUUAUUUAAGCUACCGUCGUUCUAAGCAAAUAAGAUGUAAAACAUGAUAAACAUCACAUGCAAUCAAAUAGUGACAUGAUAUGGCCAAUAUCAUUUUGCUCCUCUCAAUCUCCAUCUUCGGGGCUCCAUGAUCAUCGUUGUCACCAGCAUGACACCAUGAUCUCCAUCAUCGUGUCUUCUUGAAGUUGUCUCGUCAUCUAUUACUUCUACUACUAUGGCUAACGCUUUAGCAAUAAAGUAAAGUAAUUACAUGACGUUUAUGUUGACACGUAGGUCAUAAAUAAAUAAAGACAACUCUUAUGGCUCCUGUCGGUUGUCAUACUCAUCGACAUGCAAGUCGUGAUUCCUAUUACAAGAACAUGAUCAAUCUCAUACAUCACAUAUAUCAUUCAUCACAUCCUUUUGGCCAUAUCACAUCACAAGGCAUAUGCUGCAAAAACAAGUUAGACGUCCUCUAAUUGUUGUUGCAAGUUUUUACGUGGCUGCUAUAGGUUUCUAGCAAGAACGUUUCUUACCUACGCGAAAACCACAACGUGAUAUGCCAAUUUCUAUUUACCCUUCAUAAAGACCCUUUUCAUCGAAUCCGAUCCGACUAAAGUGGGAUAGACAGACACCCGCUAGCCACCUUAUGCAACUAGUGCAUGUCAGUCGGUGGAACCAGUCUCACGUAAGAGUACGUGUAAGGUCGGUCCGGGCCGCUUCAUCCCACGAUGCCGCCGAAUCAAGAUAAGACUAGUAACGGCAAGCAAAUUGACAAAGUCGACGCCCACAACAACUUGUGUUCUACUCGUGCAUAGAAACUACGCAUAGACCUAGAUCAUGAUGCCACUGUUGGGGAACGUAGCAGAUAUUCAAAAAAAUUCUACGCAUCACCAAGAUCAAUCUAUGGAGUAAUCUAGCAACGAGGGGAAGGAGAGUGCAUCUACAUACCCUUGUAGAUCGCUAAGCGGAAGCGUUCAAGUGAACAGGGUUGAUGGAGUCGUACUCGUCGUGAUCCAAAUCACCGAUGAUCCUAGUGCCGAACGAACGGCACCUCCGUGUUCAACACACUUGCAGCCCGGUGACGUCUCCUACGCCUUGAUCCAUCAAAGAGAGAAGGAUAGGUUGGGGAAGACUCCAUCCAGCAGCAGCACGACGGCGUGGUGGUGGUGGAGGAGCGUGGUACUCCAGCAGGGCUUCGCCAAGCACCGCAAGAGACGAGGAGGGAGAAGGGUAGGGCUGCGCCAAGAAGGAGAUGUUCUCGUGUAUAUGGCAGCCCAAAACCCCCACUAUAUAUAGGGGAAAGGGAGGGGCUGCGCCCCCACCUAGGUUUCCACCCCUAGGGGUGGUGGCCAGCCCUAGAUCCCAUCUAGGGGGCGGCCAAGGGGGGAAGAGAGGGGGGGGGGCGCACCACUAGGUGGGCCUUAGGCCCAUCUGAGCCUAGGGUUUCCCCUUUUUUCCCUUCUCUCUUUGCCUUGGGCCCUGGUGGGGGGGGGUGCACCAGCCCACCUGGGGCUGGUCCCCUCUCACACUUGGCCCACGCAGCCCUCUGGGGCAGGUAGCCCCACCUGGUGGACCCCCGGGACCCUCCCGGUGGUCCCGGUACGUUACCGAUAGCAUCCGAAACUUUUCCGGUGACCAAAACAGGACUUCCCAUAUAUAAAUCUUUACCUCCGGACCAUUCCGGAAUUCCUCGUGAUGUCCGGGAUCUCAUCCGGGACUCCGAACAACAUUCGGUAACCGCGUACAUACUUUCCCUAUAACCCUAGCGUCAUCGAACCUUAAGUGUGGAGACCCUACGGGUUCGGGAGUCAUGCAGACAUGGCCGAGACAACUCCCCGGUCAAUAACCAACAGCAGGAUCUGGAUACCCAUGUUGGCUCCCACAUGCUCCACGAUGAUCUCAUCGGAUGAACCACGAUGUCAAGGACUUAAUCAAUCCCGUAUACAAUUCCCUUUGUCUAGCGGUACGAUACUUGCCCGAGAUUCGAUCGUCGGUAUCCCGAUACCUUGUUCAAUCUCGUUACCGGCAAGUCUCUUUACUCGUUCCGUAACACAUCAUCCCGUGAUCAACUCCUUGAUCACAUUGUGCACAUUAUGAUGAUGUCCUACCGAGUGGGCCCAGAGAUACCUCUCCGUUUACACGGAGUGACAAAUCCCAGUCUCGAUUCGUGCCAACCCAACAGAUACUUUCGGAGAUACCUGUAGUGUACCUUUAUAGCCACCCAGUUACGUUGUGACGUUUGGCACACCCAAGGCACUCCUACGGUAUCCGGGAGUUGCACAAUCUCAUGGUCUAAGGAAAUGAUACUUGACAUUAGAAAAGCUUUAGCAUACGAACUACACGAUCUUUGUGCUAGGCUUAGGAUUGGGUCUUGUCCAUCACAUCAUUCUCCUAAUGAUGUGAUCCCGUUAUCAACGACAUCCAAUGUCCAUGGUCAGGAAACCGUAACCAUCUAUUGAUCAACGAGCUAGUCAACUAGAGGCUUACUAGGGACAUGGUGUUGUCUAUGUAUCAACACAUGUAUCUGAGUUUUCUAUCAAUACAAUUCUAGCAUGGAUAAUAAACGAUUAUCAUGAACAAUGAAAUAUAUAAUAAUAACUAAUUUAUUAUUGCCUCUAGGGCAUAUUUCCAACACCACCGGGUCUCUCCUGAACUGCCAUGGUCCCCCUUCCAUGACACGCUUCCAAUCCCCCAAACAAUGGCAUUGAGCCAAGAACAAGUUGGGUCCCUUAAUGUUGAAGGUCACCCCAUGCGCACAAGCCCACGCGUUCCUCAUGGAGUUCAACAGAGAAGCAUGGCUAAACGGCCGAAGGGUAUGAACCCUAAAAAGCGCCAUCCAGCGUACGUCCUUGAUCAGGUCCUCGAACUCCCCAGAUAGAUCCAAAUCUUCUUCCUCCUCCCCUUGUAACUUGAGAUUCUCAAACGCUCCCUCUAGAUCGUGGCCAUGCUCAUACUAGUCCCAAUCUUCCUCAACCUCAUCCUUCUCAUCGUCCGCAACCUUCCCACCAUUCAUACCCCCAACAACAUCAUCUCCCUUCACAGCCUCGUCUCCUGGAUCGAGCCCGGUACCCGCCGCCAGAUCUUCAGCCCUAGCCGCCUCUAGAUCUUCAGCCCUAGCCGCCCCUACUUCCGGCAUCUCCAUCCCACCCCGCACCUCCUAGUCACCCAAGUUCUUCAUGCAGCCUUCGGAGACCGAGUCCCGACCCUUCCUCGAUGUCCUUCUCUCAAGCACCCGUCGUCGGCCAGUGAAUUCCACGUCGAUCUUGGUGUACUUCGGCGCCACCGCCGAAGGAAGAGUUGGACCCUAGGAAACCCUAGGGGAAUAGUAUGCCUCUAUAGAGCCACGGUUGUAGGCUGACCUAUUUUGGCCUAUCGCCAUUUUUCUCUUUGUUUUCUUUUCUGGUUUUUUUUCCUAUCUGUACAACAAUCACAGUGUUUUGCGGUUGAGAAUAUUAUUAUCAUUUUCUCGCAAAACAAUCUCAUUGCAAUUGAGAUCCGUUUUCUCUCACAAAUUACUAAUUCUCCUUGUUGAAUUAUCUUGAAAUUUGAUACAAGAUCUCAUUUAAUUUGAGAUCUAUACAAUUCAAGUUUUUCACUUGAGGAUCAAGUUUGCAACAUCAUUAUUAUUCAUUACAUUAGUAAUGUAUAUCUGUAGAGUACCUUGUAUUCCAGGAUAAACUAUGAUGUAACAUAUUUCCAUGUUAUUCUACAUGUUGAGAUUCAUUACAUCUAUUAUUUGCAAUUGAGAUUUUUUAUCUCUUGCAAAGAUAAAUCCAGUACCUCUGCAGUACUGUUUCUUCAUUGAGUACGAGGUAUUCCGGAAUAUUUUCUAUGAUGUAUAUGUUUCCAUGUUAACCACAUGUCAAAAUUAAUAGGUCUAUUUGCAAUUGAGAUUUUCAAUUUCUUGCAAAUACGGAUGCAAAAUUCAAGGUGAUUUCUUCAAAUUGAUGUUUGAGAUCAGAAGGUAGUCAUAUGGAUCUACUGCCUACGCAGAUUAUCGAUGACUACUGAUAAAGCCUCUAUUCUGUCGUUUCGACAUUAUGAUUGCUUUACAAAGUGCUCUCCCACACAUUUUACUAAGUCAUGACAUAAGGCAUUACGAGUGAGUAUCUACUGAUUUCAUCAGAUUAUACUCUCUAGUGCUGCGAGAUCUACUCCAUUUUGAAGAUUAUCUUCAAGGUGUCAUAUUUAGCAAUUUGAGAUUCACACUAAUGGUUUUAAGAUAACUUCUUGAAAUACCCAUUGAUUUUGCUAAGUUCAUUACAACAUCAACCAUGAUGAUCUUUAAUUUACUGGUUAUAAAUUAAUUAUCUCUGGUUUACCCAUAGAGGUAACAUAUGGCUAUAGAGUUUGAGGCAUUCGCCCUCAAUGGCCACCACUGCCCUAUCUGGGCCAUGGACAUCAUGACCGCUCUUGUGUCUCAUGGGAUAAUGUGUGCAAUCCUGGAUUUACCUCUAUUUCGGAUCACACCACUAACAGAAAAAUGGUGUCUUAUAUAUCAUAUGGCAUUAGAUUCAGAUCUCAACAUCUGGUUAUUCUGUAUCAGCAAUUCCUGGGAUACAAUGAACCUCAAGGGCAAAGGUUUGAAUCUUACUUCAACCUUCAAUCCGACGUCACCAACUGUGACGGGACCCUAUGGGCACGGAGAAUGUGAUGGUUGAAUAUGCCUCAACCGACAUGUUUGGAGACUAUGAAUAGUCUUUCAAUCUCCUGAGUGGUCAAUAUAAUUAAUGUCCAUUUACGAUGUUGUAACAACAACAUAAGUAUUAUUGUCAUCAUAUACUGUGUAUCACAAUAUAUUGUAUCAACACUUUGGUACAAAUACAUUUGUAUGUAUUAUAUAUAUCUGACAGUGAUUUUCUUGAGAAUCUUCAUGUCUAUAUAUAGAUUUCUACGGGGGCUGAUCUGAUGAAAGAUUAUAUGUGCCUUGUGGACAUAUGCACCACGAACUCUAUACGCAGGGAAGUGAAAUGUUUCCACUCUCGCUGAGAUAAAAAGGAGAUAUUUUAAAAUCACUAGACGUGAUGAGGUAUUUGUUGGCUCAACUUGAGUCAUAUUUACUAUCCCUGUGGGUACUCGAGUAACAUGGGGAUGCUUUAUUGCUUCCCAGGUUUAACUCGUACCCUACUAAACUAUGGAGGUAUCCGUCAAAAUAGUUUCCAUAGAGAAACUUAUGAUGACAACAAAGAGAAAUAACUUCUCCUUACCAUAUGCAACGGAUAUGGCAAGCACAUUCUUUAUGUAUCAUCUAGAUUGUACUACUCAUACGAAACAACCCGUAGCACAUGUUGCAUACGAGAUAGUUUUCCAGAGUGUCUUGUACAUGACAAACUUGGCAUACUCGCCUUGUUCAUCGAGACAUUGGGUUGAAAUCGAAACUAUCCGCAAUUCCAAUGGUUUAUGAUUAUUAUGAUGCUAAAUUCCAACAAUAUUUGGAUUUUGUGUGCACUACAAGUGAACAGGGAAGCUAAUUUUAAGGCUCGCACACCUUAAAGUCUACGCUCAACCACUCAGACUCCUUGAAUGCAUCAAGUCGAGGUAAGUGGCUUUUCCCAGCCAUUGAGUAGACUACCCAGAUAUUCCAUGGUUUUAAAACACAUAUCUACAUGAUGGUCUUAAGUGUGUUCUUUAUUCACACGAAACCAUUGGCUGAUUAUCCUGGCAUCGAUUUCAAGCAAAUCGAAUGGAUAACAUUGCAGAAUUCUCCUUGAGGGCCUUCUCUAUGGCUUUUGGAUUGAAGUUUAGCAAUUUAUCCUAAUGUUUAGACUCAAAAUGGUUUGGUAGAAUCCUAUCCAAAGAGUUAAGCUAAUUGCAUUAUCUUUACUUUGGAAUUGCAACUUGCCAACUUUACGUUGGAGUCAUGCAGUUUUACACGCUCAUGACAUAACUGCACAAUAUUAUUCCCCUCUAUCUUUGAUAUGUGGAUAUCUACCAAGUAUUUCCUAUCUACGGUAAUUCGGUUGCAUACCGAUAUCACCACUCGGCAUACAUCAUUGGCCCCUCAACAUAUAGUUGGGAUCUAUGUGAAGAAUAACUGUAUUUCCGUCAAUUCAAGCCCCUCGCAUGGGGAGUUAUUCAAGGCCAGUAUGCUAAUUCAAUGAGGAACAUUUCCAGGCAUUAGGGGGAGAUUUCAAGUACCAUAAAAGAAUGCCAGGAAAUUAGUGGAAUGUUCAACACAUUUCUGCCUUAAAUCCACAUACUCAAAGAUCUAAACCAUGCGUUGAGAAGAUUUGCAACACAUUGCAAAUAACCUGCUAGAUUCAUUUACUGACUAUAAAGGUGUCACACAAUCCUACAAUCCUGAAAAAUAUGUCCGAAAGAGUGGAGGUACCAACUAAAACCACUCAACUCCCCGUUCAAAGCAACAGGGGGAGAAGUACGGUAAUAGUACAUCAGGAUUCAGCUUCUCGCAAGCAAGGAUAUCAAGGCCUGUGAAUCAGUAAAUGCAAGUCAACUUCACGUUGACAGGCACCUAAUGGGUAGUAUACACCCAGUGGAUGGGAAACCUCCACCAACCUAGGUCAUAAUGCACAAAAUGACCGGGACAUUGGAAUACCUGACUCAAUCGCAUUGGGAAAUCGCGAGCAGUCACUAUGGGUAACGAUAUUUCCAUCAACUAUAUAUUGAUAUAUAGAUUCUGGAGAAUCAUAUAACCGGAAGUCUACAAUUGUCGACAUGCAUUUCUCAAUUAGAUUGCAAAAACCUUUCAAAUGAUUCAGAUCCAAAGACCAUGGCCAUGGCAAAGUGUGAACAACACUCGGACUGAACUCAAGCAAAGGGUAUAAUCUAGGUAGAAAUGAUCUUGCUCAAUAAUGGGAAGGUAUUCAUAAGCAAUACCUACACCAGUUUUCUUCUGGAAACAGAAUUGAGAACAACGAGGUGGUGAAACAAAGAGCAAGUAUUGUAGCACAAGGGUUCACGCAGAUACCCAACUAUUCUUCAGAGGUGGAAUCUCUUUCCGAUAACUUUAUCAUUGGCAGUACAAAAUCAUAUAUCUCUGCAGUUGAUAGAUGUAGUUAUCACAUAUCCAUGUGGAUAACUAGAUCCAGACAUAUAUGGUUGAUUUCCGAUGGAAUCACAAUUCUGAAUCGAAAUACAAAAUGCAACAUACAUUGUGUAAAAUCAGUAAGUCACCACAAGACUUAUUGUUGUCGGUACAUAUGGUACAACCGACGUAGUGAUAUCCUUAUACACAAGGAUUACUCCUACAAUGAUGAUUAUCCAUGUUUGUGUGUUUGCAAUGAAAACACAUGUAAUCAUCUAGAUGGCAGAGUUUAAAAUGAAGGAUUUGGGUGAACCAAAAUACCGCUUGUUACUACAACUUAAGCACCUUCAUUCAUAUAUUAUGGUAUACUAUGUUGUCUAUAUCCAAAAUAUAUUGGAGAACAUUGUGGACAAAUCUUAUCCAUCCAUAACUCUCAUGGUAGUUCAUUCUCUAGACAUAGAGAAAGACCUAUUUAGACCAAGAGAUGAUGGAAAUGAGAUAUUGGGACUCAACGUUCCAUAAUGCCAUUGGAUCCACCAAACACAAUUGGUUGGUACUCAAGAAUAUCUUUCGAUAUCUCCAAGGCAUCAAACAUCUUGUCCUGGUUUUUCAGUUUCCCAGAAACGUGAACACCAAUAUCAUUGGAUAGAUCGAUCAGAUCCCCACUAUGUCAGAUCCUAGACAAGCUUAGUGUUCCUACUAGGUGUAGUAACCCCCUCAUGAAGAGUCUUCGAAACAGACCUCAUGACUACAUCCACCAACCAUUAUCUCAACGAUAAUGUUUCUUGUGUUGCCCAGAUGCAAACAGGUUACAUAAUAAGCAAUAUCACUAUAUUGCAUAUCUUGCAAGUCAAAUCAUGCGAUUGAUUUGUUCAUUGGGUAUCUACCAACUUCUAUGUUCCAGAAAUGUGUUCAUAGAAUUGGUAGGUGACGGCUUCGAAUUUUGCAAGAAUCAGGGGGAGUAUCUUUCUGAAUUGUUCCUGUUCAAUGCAUCAUAUUAUACUCUUUUUCCCUUCAUGAGUUUACUUUACAGGUUCCCGUGAAGGUUUUUAAUGAGGUAAUAUCAACAUGAGAUCAUAUGUCAUACUUUCAGUUUUCCCCACCGGGGUUUUUAGGAAAGUAUAUACGACAUAUUUAUUGUCCUAUAAAACUCUAUGGGUUUUCUUGUAUUGAGUUAAAAGAGACAAUAACCAUUAUAUGUUGCAUCAUAUUCUUCUUAUUUUUCCCACUGGGUUUGAAGGACUUUUAGCAACAUAUCAAACAUCUAUCUCCUCACAUUUUUCCCACAGGGUUUUUCGAGGAGACUUACUUAAGUUGAUGAUGAUGAAAAUUCUCAAAGACAAACCAACUCGGAGGAGCUUUUAUGAAGAUGAUAAAACUACAUAGACAAGCGUAGAUUAGGGGGAGUGUUAAGACUUAAUUAAAACAAUGUGACGCCAGGAUAAUUAGACUACAGUAAUCCCAAGCUAAUGAUGCCACGUCACCUCCAUUACUGUGAUUAAACUCACGUUGAUUCGAACCCGAUUCAAAUUCAAAUUUAAAACAUAGGCAAACAACAAAAGUUUCCAAACUUUAAAACUAAAAUGUUCGGAGUGAACUAAAUAAUGCAGCGGUAAUUAUGGUGGAGAAACCAAACUUUGAUAAAGUGUUUAAAGGCUCUAAGAUAAUUAAAACAGUAGUUAAAACAGUUAAAUACAUGCCUAUUAAAUUUUAUAAAAUAUUAAACUAUUUUAUUUUCGGUUGAGAAUUAAGGUGGCAGUAGUAUAUUUAUAAAUACAAAUUUAGGUGCUAGUGUUUUUAUAAAACUGUAAUAAAAGGGAACUUAAAAUAAAACAGAAAAGAAAAUACAAAAGAGAAAAACUAAACAGACAAAAAAAGGGAAAAGAACCCCCCCGGCUCCGGCCCAGCAGGCCAUCAACCCCACUGGGCCACCCACCAGGCCCAGCCGGCCACACCUUAUCCCCUCACCCCCCCCUCAAACCCUAACCCGUAACCCCCUCCCCCACUCGCCCCCCACUACGCUCUCUUCCCCCUCUCUCCCGAUUGGAUCGGGAGGUGGGGCAAACCACCGACGCCGCCGCCCUAAGCCCGACGCCACGCCCCCCCAGAUCACGUCCUCGCCGGACCGAUCCGCCGCCGCCUGGACCUCGCCUCCUCAUCCCCCUGCUCGUCGGAGCGUCGUCCCCGUCCGCCACCCCGAACCCCGCCGCUCGACGCCGUCAUCGGAAGCCACCACGCCGGACCACACCACGCCGCCUCGCCGACCUUCCUCCUUGCCGGCGCCGUCGUCCCAGACUCUUCCUCAACACUCGCUGCCACGUACCCUACAACUACGGUGAGGCCCUCGGCCUCCCCUUCCCCUCGCUCGCACACCGUCCCGCACCGGCGCGCGACCACCGCGACUCCCGUCCGCUGCCAUCGACCGUUGCACUCGCCGCAUCGUGGAUGCGCCCGACCCCACCCUGGAGCCGCCCGCGCCCACCUGCCUCCGCGCGCAUCCACUGUCGAGCUCCCGCACGCCCUGGACCGCGCUUGGCCGCGCCCGACCGUGGCCGACAGCGCGCGCUCGCGCCCACGCCCCCUCUGACCAAGCCCGGUCAUGGAGGGUNNNNNNNNNNNNNNNNNNNNNNNNNNNNNNNNNNNNNNNNNNNNNNNNNNNNNNNNNNNNNNNNNNNNNNNNNNNNNNNNNNNNNNNNNNNNNNNNNNNNNNNNNNNNNNNNNNNNNNNNNNNNNNNNNNNNNNNNNNNNNNNNNNNNNNNNNNNNNNNNNNNNNNNNNNNNNNNCUCCAUCCCGCGGCUCCUGGCCGCGCCCGCCAGGGCCGUCGCCGUCCGGGGCCUCCCCUGCUCCCCGCCUCCUGCCGCUGUCGAGCGAUGCCGCCGACGCAGCUGGGCCUCGCGCCCUCGUUGCGGUGGCCUCGGGCACGGGCACCCAUUGCCCGAAACCGCCACGCCCGCACCUGGCGCCCAGCGCCCACUAGCGCCCGAAAACCCACUAAGGCCCCUGGGGCCUAUGACAGAUGGGCCCCACGCCCAAAACAUUUUUUUAUUAAAAAAAGAGAAUUAAAAAAAUAUAAUAAGUAAAUAAUUAAUAAUAAAAUUAAUUAAUUAAUUAAUUAAUUAACUUAACUAAUCCUGUUUAGUUUAACUAAUUAAGAUUAAUUAACCUAAUAAAUAGUUACCCUAAUUAACUACUGUUAAUUAGCUAAACAAUCCCUAACAGGUGGGCCCCACCUGUCAGGUUGACCCAGUCAACCUCUAUUGACUGCUGACAUCAUGCUGACAUCAUGCUGACAUCAGCAAUCACUGUUCUGGAUAAUGUUGCAUUAAAAUAAUUAAAUAAAUCCUGAAAAUGAUUUAAAUCUUUUAAAAUUAAUAGAGAAUAAACCGUAGCUCAGAUGAAAAUACUUUCUACAUGAAAGUUGCUCAGAACGACGAGACGAUUCCGGAUACGCAGCCCGUUCGUCCACCACACACCCCUAACAUAUCAAACACGCAACUUUCCCCCUCCGGUUCAUUUGUCCGAAAACACGAAACACCGGGAAUACUUUCCCGGAUGCUCUCCCCCUUCGUCGGUAUCACCUACUACCGCGUUAGAACACGUCUAGCUCUGCUUGUUGUCCUGUUAUGCACUUGCUUGCUAUGUAUUUACUGUUUCUCCCCCCCUCUUCUCUCCGGUAGACCACGUGACGAUGCUGAUGCCCCUGUGGUCGACUACAUCAUCGACGACCCCUCUCUCUUGCUAGAGCAACCAGGCAAGCCCCCCCCCCCUUGAUCACCAGAUAUCGCCUAUUCUACUCUAUACUGCUUGCAUUAGAGUAGUGUAGCAUGUUACUGCUUUCCGUUAAUCCUAUUCUGAUGCAUAGCCUGUCAUUGUUGCUACAGUCAUUGAUACCUUACCCGCAAUCCUACAUGCUUAGCAUAGGAUGCUAGUAUUUUUCAUCUAUGGCCCUACAUUCUUGUCCGUCUGCUGUGCUAUACUAUCGGGCCGUGAUCACUCGGGAGGUGAUCACGGGUAUAUACUAUAUACUUUCUACAUGAUACAUGUGGAGACUAAAGUCGGGUCGGCUGGUGGAGCACCCGCGAGUGGAUCUUUGUGGCGGAGCGACAGGGCAGGUUGAGACCGCCUAGGAGAGAGGUGGGCCUGGCCCUGUUCGACGUUCGCGGAUACUUAACACGCUUAACGAGAUCUUGGUAUUUGAUCUGAGUUGGCUACAAGCCUAUGAGCACUAACCAACUACGUGGGAGUAGUUAUGGGUAUCCCGGCGUCGUGGUAUCAGCCGAAGCACUUCGUGACGCCAGCGACUGAGUGGCGCGCGCCGGAUUGGAACGUAAGCCUGCUCUUGUAUUAAGGAGGCUAGUUCUGCUUUCGGCCGCGUACGCAACGUGCAGGUGUGCUAUGGGCGAUGGGCCCAGACCCCUGUGCGCUUAGGUUUAGACCGGCGUGCUGGCCUCUCUGUUGUGCCUAGGUGGGGCUGUGACGUGUUGAUCUUCCGCGGCCGGGCAUGACCCAGGAAAGUGUGUCCGGCCAAAUGGGAUCAAGCGUGUUGGGUAAGUUGGUGCACCCCUGCAGGGAAGUUAAUCUAUUCGAAUAGCCGUGAUCUUCGGUAACAGGACGACUUGGAGUUGUACCUCGACCUUAUGACAACUAGAACCGGAUACUUAAUGAAACACACCCUUCCAAGUGCCAGAUACAACCCGGUGAUCGCUCUCUAACAGGGCGACGAGGAGAGGAUCGCCGGGUAGGAUUAUGCUAUGCGAUGCUACUGGAGAUGUUACUUGGAGAUGCUACUUGGAGAUGCUACUUGGAGAUGCUACUUGGAGAUGCUACUUGGAGGACUUCAAUCUACUCUCUUCUACAUGCUGCAAGACGGAGGCUGCCAGAAGCGUAGUCUUCGACAGGAUUAGCUAUCCCCCUUUUAUUCUGGCAUUCUGCAGUUCAGUCCACUGAUAUGGCCCUUUACACAUAUACCCAUGCAUAUGUAGUGUAGCUCCUUGCUUGCGAGUACUUUGGAUGAGUACUCACGGUUGCUUUUCUCCCUCUUUUCCCCUUUCACUUCUAUCUGGUUGUCGCAACCAGAUGCUGGAGUCCAGGAGCCAGACGCCACCGUCGGUGAUGAUUCCUACUACACUGGAGGUGCCUACUACGACGUGCAGGCCGCUGACGACGACCAGGAGUAGUUAGGAGGAUCCCAGGCAGGAGGCCUGCGCCUCUUUCGAUCUGUAUCCCAGUUUGUGCUAGCCUUCUUAAGGCAAACUUGUUUAACUUAUGUCUGUACUCAGAUAUUGUUGCUUCCGCUGACUCGUCUAUGAUCGAGCACUUGUAUUCGAGCCCUCGAGGCCCCUGGCUUGUAUUAUGAUGCUUGUAUGACUUAUUUAUGUUUUAGAGUUGUGUUGUGAUAUCUUCCCGUGAGUCCCUGAUCUUGAUCGUACACGUUUGCAUGCAUGAUUAGUGUACGAUUGAAUCGGGGGCGUCACAAGUUGGUAUCAGAGCCGACUGCUUGUAGGAAUCCCCCUUCCACACUCCUUGGCCGAAGUCGAGUCUAGACAUUGCAAAAACUUUUACUAACUUGGCUGUGUGCCUUACGGGCCCACGUCGCCAUCGGGUGGUAUUAGGAUCUUUUAUUCCUCGUCUAUACUCUGGGACUCUGAUCUCUCUACUAUUCGGGUUAAAUGAAUUUGCUAACUCUAAGAUUAGGAUCUCGUGAUCGCAUCCACCCGAAGAGCCCCUUAUUGCAGAGGAUCGCCUGCUACAUCAGAAGAUUCCGAAGAUACUCUCUGAUGUUCUCUCGAGACUUGUGCCCAUCACUUUGGCUAUUCCUGACCACCGAUAAAUCUGUAUGGAUAACUACUUACACUUGCCAUUCUUACGAUCAUCCCCCAUUGAUCUUGUUAUUACAAGAUACCCCGAAGUUUUCUCUAUUGUUCCGAGAAUACUUUGUGCCUACUGCCUAGCAGUUCUUUGCCACAUGAAUACCCCUUCGAAUAAAUCCUCGCACUUGUCGAGUAUCCGCUCAUCCCCAGUUGUUCAUGUGUUUCACAAAAGUCUUCGAAAUAAUAUUCGAUCUUCCGAAAAUCCUUUGGGGCCUUUGGCUCUUGAAAUUCUUGCUUGCUUGCAUUAUGGAUAAUCCCAUAAGUCUCGUAGUCAUAUUGACAUUCCUUGUCAUUACCAUUUUGAGUCUGUUGACUCAAUAUGUUUGCGAAUACACGCAAUCAUCAUUGAUCCUUAUAAAUUACUUUUCCGGCUGAGCUGCCAUUCUUUUUACUGGAAUUGGUUCUCGACCAACCCAAUUGUCUUUGAUUGUACCCUACGGCUAUUCAACUUAUCCACACCUAAUCAGAGCAUUGCUUCUGAUCCCUUGAUUUGGAAAUCAUAAUUCCUUUGCAUUUGACAAUUGAGUUAGUCAGUUGUUUCUAUAAUCUGCUUCCUCUAGUUGAGUACCGAUGCUCACGUCAGAUCCCUUGUGGACCACCAGAUCCUUUGUUGGAUUUUAUCUGACAACGCCCUUCAUAUUCAAUAAACUUGUGAGCCUUUUCUCGGAUACAUAAUGCCUUUGGUAAAUUGUAUCGUCUGCUUUCUCAACCAUGCUCUGCCUUCGAGCUUGAGUUAAUUACUUCUAAAAGAUUCUGGUAUAGGAUUCUAAGAUGCCCCGAUGGGUUGAACCUAUGCCUUCCUUAAUAUGUGUGAACUCGAAAGUUUUCACGAGUCAUACUCUUCUGGUAUUUUGCCAGAUAAAAUUUCAACGCUAUAACUUCAUCGAAAGCGAGAAGUGAAUGAAAGGGUAUGCAUUGGAGAAGUGGGAGUCGACCUUGAACUUUGUGUUCAUGCCCAUGGACGCGAUGUAUAUCCUAUCAUGGAAGCUUCUUGUAACAAUAACUAUUUCCUUGAUAACUAACAUAUGGUAUCUGUGAAUUGAUCCCUUGCAACCGUGGUUCCGACCAUGAUUGUUCUUCUUUGAUCUCAUUUCUCGGACAAGUUAAAACAAUUGUCUCCUAUGGAUCAAUACACCAGUCCAACCUUUACUUUGAUCUUGUGUCGAGUAUUACCCCCCUGGUAUCUCGAGAUUAUCAUGGAACUGCAUAACUCCUUAUGAGUUCUUCAUCAAGUGCUACCUUCCCACUGAUUCCAAUUUUUCACGGGCUCUGAGUUAAUAAACACUCAAAGACACCAAUAACGGAACCGAGUCCGCACUACGGUUCAACAACUCUUCAGUAAGCUUCUAUAAGUACGAGUUUGUACCCGAUCACGCCAUUCCUAGCCUGUUUGGCUAUAUCAUUGUCGUGAUGAUUUUAACUGUGCUACCCGGUCCUUCUUCUCGGAGCACAAUUUUCAACGAUGAACUAACCUUACAUCGAUCCUCAUCGUCAUACCAUUUUGCCUUGAACAACAAGCUUGGUUUCGAGUUGUGUCGUACCCUUGGUUCCAAUAACCUUUCACUUCAUCAUUAUGUUGACUUGAUGUCGUCGCCGAUCGAUUACAUCUUCAUGAACUCUCGCGACAAAGGUGUCGUGAUCAUCAACAUUCUGAGCUCAUCCAGGAUAUCAAUUGAAUUCAUGAUGAGAAAUACCAUCCUUGCCCUCGAUGAAUUGUAUUAUCAUCGACCACUUUAUUGCCUUCCCACCAACACAAGCUUGUUCAUGCUUGGUGUUAUACCUUGAGUUCCUUGCCAUCCAGCAAUUGUUCUUCUUUACCUUGGAGUAUUACCAUCCUUUAUGUCAAGAAUGUUCUGAGAAUUGUUCCACCUCUUGAGAAUUCUUGACAUAGAAAUACUUCUCACCAUCACCAUUCUUUCUUGGUCCCCGUGUUAAUUCCAACAAGUGAAGGGUGUUGUUUGGAUUCUUUCCUUCUAGCAACCCUAUUUUUUUUAGUUAAUGGUCGAAAGUUCAUUCUUAGGCUAUUGAUUAUUGAAUCACCAUUCUAACAUUGGUCGUGCAACCCAACCCAUAUUUCGGGCGCACCUUUCAACCAAUGUUAAUUGUGUAUGUUUACCUCGAGCAUACUUCCUUAUAUCAUUUGAUCUGACAAAUGUUAUCUCCUUGUUCACUUAAUUGUGGAAAUCCAUCUUUUGGGAAUCUCGGUGAAUUGCCGUUGAGUUCACCAGACACCUCCUUGUCCUCUCCUUGGUUUAAUGAUGAACUAUUGCUUCAGAAACCCGCUCCCAUAGUUCAUUUCUCGAGGAUCUUGCAAUGUCAUUUCGACGAUUUGUGUUGCAACUUUUUCCUCCCGGACCCCCUGAGUCUGAGGUUUCAUGACACCAAUUGGAUAUGAAUCUCGGUCAGAUAUGAUGGUUGGGACAACUUUCCAAGAGUUAUGAUGUUGAUCCUUUGAUGACCCGGUAACAUGAUGUCAUGCCUAGCACCCCCCCCCCCGGCUGGAGGACCUAUCAUUAUAGAUUCCUUUUCAGCAAGGUUAUCCAUUCAUCCAUGAGGAAAUUGUAAGACUUAUUCUACAAGUUAUUCCUGAUGGAUCCUUCGUGUUUCCAAAGUAUGAUCUUCACCUGAUGACCAUGUCAAUGCUAUCUCGAAGCAUGUCUAUGGUACUCCGAUUUUCAAUAAGACCAUUUGAAGCCCAAUGCUAAAUGUUUCUUGCUCAAUUACCCAAACACCGUUGUAUGGGCAAUGUCAUGAAAAUUCUCUCCCCUACUUAAAGAGUUUUCUACAUUAUAUCCUGACAUGGAUAUCAUGCUCUGCUUGUCCUUGGGAAGGAUAUACCCUUGAAAUAUGUGUUUAAACAUAAUUUCCUUUCCAUUGUUCUGUUUAAUUUGAUGAUCAUAUUUUCCUUCCAUUGUUGGUUUAACCUUUCUUGUGAACUAUAUGAUCUGAGCAGUAAUAUUCUCUUGCUUAUGUAAACACCUCGUUGUACAAUUCUGUCAGUAAGACCCUGUUACGUUUGUUGAUGACAUUCCGGUAACCACCGAUGGACGAGAACUUCGCCUACUGGUCCGCCUCGUUCAACGAGCAGGAAAAUGGUUCUCUUCGUCCCUCGCCCUUGGUACCGACAUUGUUGCCGACAUAACUGACAUGGUACUCUCUGACAUGCCUUGCUAUCGUGAUCGUACAAGAUGUCAGCCCCCCCUUUCUACUUUUAACCCACAUGGUGGGCCCAUAACCCACAUGUCCCAGGAAUGAAACCUGACUCUCCUGUACAACCUGUUGUCAAAGUUAUUCCUCGUGCUUGACUUUGUAUGUAAUUCACGGGCCACUUGCCUGUUGAUCUAUUCUGGUAUCGGACACAAUACUUAUUCCCGUUGCUCAGAACCCCUUUCGCACUCUGCUUCAGGCAAUGAACGAUUGCCUAUCCGCUUGAAACUUCUUAUUGCACCGUCUUACUUUGCUCUCGAUAGGUGUAAUUUGUUCAACUCGAGAGAUACUCAUAUGUUCAUUCUUGGGAUACCCCAGAUGAAUUUCCCUUAUAACCUCCUAUCAUUGUAGAGCUGCCCCUUACCUAUUCGUAAGUACGAUGGAAUUCCCCGAAGAAAGGACGAGAACUUCAUCAUGAUGCUUUGGAAUAAAGAAUUGAAGACAUCAACGAAAGGGAUUAACUUCUUCAAGAAGAUCCAUUAGAAUAACAAGAACCCCCCCCCCUUACUCCCCUCUUAAAUCUCGGGACGGGAUUUCUUGUAGUGGAGGAGAAUUGUGACGCCCGGAUAAUUAGACUACAGUAAUCCCAAGCUAAUGAUACCACGUCACCUCCAUUACUGUGAUUAAACUCACGUUGAUUCGAACCCGAUUCAAAUUCAAAUUUAAAACAUAGGCAAACAACAAAAGUUUCCAAACUUUAAAACUAAAAUGUUCGGAGUGAACUAAAUAAUGCAGCGGUAAUUAUGGUGGAGAAACCAAACUUUGAUAAAGUGUUUAAAGGCUCUAAGAUAAUUAAAACAAUAGUUAAAACAGUUAAAUACAUGUCUAUUGAAUUUUAUAAAAUAUUAAACUAUUUUAUUUUCGGUUGAGAAUUAAGGUGGCAGUAGUAUAUUUAUAAAUACAAAUUUAGGUGCUAGUGUUUUUAUAAAACUGUAAUAAAAGGGAACUUAAAAUAAAACAGAAAAGAAAAUACAAGAGAAAAACUAAACAGACAAAAAAAGGGAAAAGAACCCCCCCCCNNNNNNNNNNNNNNNNNNNNNNNNNNNNNNNNNNNNNNNNNNNNNNNNNNNNNNNNNNNNNNNNNNNNNNNNNNNNNNNNNNNNNNNNNNNNNNNNNNNNNNNNNNNNNNNNNNNNNNNNNNNNNNNNNNNNNNNNNNNNNNNNNNNNNNNNNNNNNNNNNNNNNNNNNNNNNNNNNNNNNNNNNNNNNNNNNNNNNNNNNNNNNNNNNNNNNNNNNNNNNNNNNNNNNNNNNNNNNNNNNNNNNNNNNNNNNNNNNNNNNNNNNNNNNNNNNNNNNNNNNNNNNNNNNNNNNNNNNNNNNNNNNNNNNNNNNNNNNNNNNNNNNNNNNNNNNNNNNNNNNNNNNNNNNNNNNNNNNNNNNNNNNNNNNNNNNNNNNNNNNNNNNNNNNNNNNNNNNNNNNNNNNNNNNNNNNNNNNNNNNNNNNNNNNNNNNNNNNNNNNNNNNNNNNNNNNNNNNNNNNNNNNNNNNNNNNNNNNNNNNNNNNNNNNNNNNNNNNNNNNNNNNNNNNNNNNNNNNNNNNNNNNNNNNNNNNNNNNNNNNNNNNNNNNNNNNNNNNNNNNNNNNNNNNNNNNNNNNNNNNNNNNNNNNNNNNNNNNNNNNNNNNNNNNNNNNNNNNNNNNNNNNNNNNCACGCCCUGGACCGCGCUUGGCCGCGCCCGACCGUGGCCGACAGCGCGCGCUCGCGCCCACGCCCCCUCUGACCAAGCCCGGCCAUGGAGGGUCUCCGCUCCCCCUUGCUGCUGCCCGCCCGACCACCACCGCCUCCAUCCCGCGGCUCCUGGCCGCGCCCGCCAGGGCCGUCGCCGUCCGGGGCCUCCCCUGCUCCCCGCCUCCUGUCGCUGUCGAGCGAUGCCGCCGACGCAGCUGGGCCUCGCGCCCUCGCUGCGGUGGCCUCGGGCACGGGCACCCAUUGCCCGAAACUGCCACGCCCGCACCUGGCGCCCAGCGCCCACUAGCGCCCGAAAACCCACUAAGGCCCCUGGGGCCUAUGACAGAUGGGCCCCACGCCCAAAACAUUUUUUUAUUAAAAAAAGAGAAUUAAAAAAAUAUAAUAAAUAAAUAAUUAAUAAUAAAAUUAAUUAAUUAACCUAACUAAUCAUGUUUAGUUUAAAUAAUUAAGAUUAAUUAACCUAAUAAAUAGUUACCCUAAUUAACUACUGUUAAUUAGCUAAACAAUCCCUAACAGGUGGGCCCCACCUGUCAGGUUGACCCAGUCAACCUCUAUUGACUGCUGACAUCAGCAAUCACUGUUCUGGAUAAUGUUGCAUUAAAAUAAUUAAAUAAAUCCUGAAAAUGAUUUAAAUCUUUUAAAAUUAAUAGAGAAUAAACCGUAGCUGAGAUGAAAAUACUUUCUACAUGAAAGUUGCUCAGAACGACGAGACGAUUCCGGAUACGCAGCCCGUUCGUCCACCAUGCACUCCUAACAUAUCAAACAUGCAACUUUCCCCCUCCGGUUCAUCUGUCCGAAAACACGAAACACCGGGAAUACUUUCCCGGAUGCUUUCCCCCUUCGUCGGUAUCACCUACUACCGCGUUAGAACACGUCUAGCUCUGCUUGUUGUCCUGUUAUGCACUUGCUUGCUAUGUAUUUACUGUUUCUCCCUCCUCUUCUCUCCGGUAGACCCCGUGACGAUGCUGAUGCCCCUGUGGUCGACUACAUCAUCGACGACCCCUCUCUCUUGCUAGAGCAACCAGGCAAGCCCCCCCCUUGAUCACCAGAUAUCGCCUAUUCUACUCUAUACUGCUUGCAUUAGAGUAGUGUAGCAUGUUACUGCUUUCCAUUAAUCCUAUUCUGAUGCAUAGCCUGUCAUUGUUGCUACAGUCAUUGAUACCUUACCCGCAAUCCUACAUGCUUAGCAUAGGAUGCUAGUAUUUUUCAUCUAUGGCCCUACAUUCUUGUCCGUCUGCUGUGCUAUACUAUCGGGCCGUGAUCACUCGGGAGGUGAUCACGGGUAUAUACUAUAUACUUUCUACAUGAUACAUGUGGAGACUAAAGUCGGGUCGGCUGGUGGAGCACCCGCGAGUGGAUCUUUGUGGCGGAGCGACAGGGCAGGUUGAGACCGCCUAGGAGAGAGGUGGGCCUGGCCCUGUUCGACGUUCGCGGAUACUUAACACGCUUAACGAGAUCUUGGUAUUUGAUCUGAGUUGGCUACGAUCCUAUACGUACUAACCAACUACGUGGGAGUAGUUAUGGGUAUCCCGGCGUCGUGGUAUCAGCCGAAGCACUUCGUGACGCCAGCGACUGAGUGGCGCGCGCCGGAUUGGAACGUAAGCCUGCUCUUGUAUUAAGGGGGCUAGUUCUGCUUUCGGCCGCGUACGCAACGUGCAGGUGUGCUAUGGGCGAUGGGCCCAGACCCCUGUGCGCUUAGGUUUAGACCGGCGUGCUGGCCUCUCUAUUGUGCCUAGGUGGGGUUGCGACGUGUUGAUCUUCCACGGCCGGGCAUGACCCAGGAAAGUGUGUCCGGCCAAAUGGGAUCAAGCGUGUUGGGUAAGUUGGUGCACCCCUGCAGGGAAGUUAAUCUAUUCGAAUAGCCGUGAUCUUUGGUAACAGGACGACUUGGAGUUGUACCUCGACCUUAUGACAACUAGAACCGGAUACUUAAUGAAACACACCCUUCCAAGUGCUAGAUACAACCCGGUGAUCGCUCUCUAACAGGGCGACGAGGAGAGGAUCGCCGGGUAGGAUUAUGCUAUGCGAUGCUACUGGAGAUGUUACUUGGAGAUGCUACUUGGAGAUGCUACUUGGAGAUGCUACUUGGAGGACUUCAAUCUACUCUCUUCUACAUGCUGCAAGACGGAGGCUGCCAGAAGCGUAGUCUUCGACAGGAUUAGCUAUCCCCCUUUUAUUCUGGCAUUCUGCAGUUCAGUCCACCGAUAUGGCCCUUUACACAUAUACCCAUGCAUAUGUAGUGUAGCUCCUUGCUUGCGAGUACUUUGGAUGAGUACUCACGGUUGCUUUUCUCCCUCUUUCCCCCUUUCCCUUCUAUCUGGUUGUCGCAACCAGAUGCUGGAGUCCAGGAGCCAGACGCCACCGUCGGCGAUGAUUCCUACUACACUGGAGGUGCCUACUACUACGUGCAGGCCGCUGACGACGACCAGGAGUAGUUAGGAGGAUCCCAGGCAGGAGGCCUGCGCCUCUUUCGAUCUGUAUCCCAGUUUGUGCUAGCCUUCUUAAGGCAAACUUGUUUAACUUAUGUCUGUACUCAGAUAUUGUUGCUUCCGCUGACUCGUCUAUGAUCGAGCACUUGUAUUCGAGCCCUCGAGGCCCCUGGCUUGUAUUAUGAUGCUUGUAUGACUUAUUUAUAUUUUAGAGUUGUGUUGUGAUAUCUUCCCGUGAGUCCCUGAUCUUGAUCGUACACGUUUGCGUGCAUGAUUAGUGUACGAUUGAAUCGGGGGCGUCACAAGUUGGUAUCAGAGCCGACUGCCUGUAGGAAUCCCCCUUCCACACUCCUUGGCCGAAGUCGAGUCUAGACAUUGCAAAAACUUUUACUAACUUGGCUGUGUGCCUUACGGGCCCACGUCGCCAUCGGGUGGUAUUAGGAUCUUUUAUUCCUCGUCUAUACUCUGGGACUCUGAUCUCUCUACUAUUCGGGUUAAAUGAAUUUGCUAACUCUAAGAUUAGGAUCUCGUGAUCGCAUCCACCCGAAGAGCCCCUUAUUGCAGAGGAUCGCCUGCUACAUCAGAAGAUUCCGAAGAUACUCUCUGAUGUUCUCUCGAGACUUGUGCCCAUCACUUUGGCUAUUCCUGACCACCGAUAAAUCCGUAUGGAUAACUACUUACACUUGCCAUUCUUACGAUCAUCCCCCAUUGAUCUUGUUAUUACAAGAUACCCCGAAGUUUUCUCUAUUGUUCCGAGAAUACUUUGUGCCUACUGCCUAGCAGUUCUUUGCCACAUGAAUACCCCUUCGAAUAAAUCCUCGCACUUGUCGAGUAUCCGCUCAUCCCCAGUUGUUCAUGUGUUUCACAAAAGUCUUCGAAAUAAUAUUCGAUCUUCCGAAAAUCCUUUGGGGCCUUUGGCUCUUGAAAUUCUUGCUUGCUUGCAUUAUGGAUAAUCCCAUAAGUCUCGUAGUCAUAUUGACAUUCCUUGUCAUUACCAUUUUGAGUCUGUUGACUCAAUAUGUUUGCGAAUACACGCAAUCAUCAUUGAUCCUUAUAAAUUACUUUUCCGGCUGAGCUGCCAUUCUUUUUACUGGAAUUGGUUCUCGACCAAUCCAAUUGUCUUUGAUUGUACCCUACGGCUAUUCAACUUAUCCACCCCUAAUCCCGUGAGUCCCUGAUCUUGAUCGUACACGUUUGCGUGCAUGAUUAGUGUACGAUUGAAUCAGGGGCGUCACAAACAAGUUAAUUAAGGAUUAAAUCUCCACUUAUCCUGACCGUCAUAUAAAUAGACGCGACUUUUGUAAGCGUCGUGUCCCUCCGAAUGCGUCUCUUCGGAGACUAUAAAUAUGUAACUUGUCAUCAUCAAUAGACAGUUUUCGAUACUAUCGAUUGUCUCUCGUUUUCUUUCAACACAUAUGACUUAUUGCCUCUGUGUCCCAUGAAAAAAACCCCAUGAACAAACUCCGCAGUGAAAUGAUCAGUGUGUUGUGUUGAAAAAAAUUUCAGAGAAAAAGACAUGUUCACUUCAUCCGAUCAAAGAUACAAUUUUGACUAAACCGAAACUAAUUGGAACCAAAUCAAUUGAAAACGUAUAGCAGACAAGAGAUACAUUGUAAAGUAACAUAAUUGAGAUUCUUAGACUGAAAAUUCCCAAGCCUAUGGCCGGAAUGGAACUCACCGUACUCGGGAACGUACCCCUGUUCGUGCCGCCGCAUGGGCGCCAUCGUUGCCUCUCACACAGCGGCGACGUGAUGUGGUCGCCCCCAACACACGAUCCCUCAAUGUACGUCUCUAAUAGGUCCUCCGAUGACGGCGAUCACCGGCCACCGUAGCCGCCCUAAUCGCCCGUGCGUGGGUCGAAAGAAAGAAAAGGGUACGCCCGAAGUGCUGAACUGCAACGAGGAAGGAUGCGGGGCUUGAUCUGCAAUGAAGAAACACUCAGGGUCCGUAUCGCAAAAUUGUCCGCUGAACGUGCGGAGCGACGGGCCUCGCUGCUGAGUGCUGACGUGUCCCGCGGUGUACCGGCUGCGCGUCGCCAGGACCGUACGUGGUCCGUAUUAUCGAGUACAGGGACUGUAAUGAGGCAUUAUGGGAGUACGAGGACUGUUAUAGACAUGGCCUGCAAGUUCAAGGAUCGGAGAUGCAUUUUACUCCCUUCUUUUGUAUUUUCUCUAUGCCUUCAGAUACUUUCUUUUUCAGUUCUGCUGGGGCCCCCUCACCCUCCUUGUAAAUAUGUAGACAUGCAAGGUGUUGGGCUCUCUCCUUUAAUGAAAAAGAUACUGUAGGCGGUUUCCCUGCUGUUUUCUCGUCAAAGAAGAUCAUUGGUAUGUUGUCCAGUUAGGGAUGGCAAUGGGUCGGGUUUGGGGCGGGUGGAGCUGGUCCAAAUCCAACCCAUGACCCAUCUUCCUACCCUCUGCCCAUCCACCAAAUUAUUCAUGGGCAUAACUUGUGCCCAUGCCCAAACCCGUUCGAUACCCACAUACCCAUGGAGUUCCAUGGGCAUAGAAAAGUCAGCAUGAAACCUUCCUAAAUAUCAAAUCAACUCAUCAUCAUUCACUCACAAAUGACAACAUAAGCUACAUGCAUAAGUAGGUAACAAGUAAUACGAUGAGUCCUUGAGUGUGACAUACCAGAGGUUGAUUCUGUAGCAUAUAGCUCAUGGCACAAGUUGCAUAUUUCCUGCCAUUUUCCAUUGAUUCGCUCUUUCUACUAUCACUAGCAUAUGACCUCACAUGUCAUACGGGUAUCCAUUGGAUAUCCAUGGAGCACAAACUAUAACCAUGCCCAACCCGGCUGUUCGUGGGUAUCCAUAUCCAUGGACCCAUGGGCAGAAAUGUGCUCCAUACCCUUGCCUAACCGGGCCAGGUAUCCAAAUCCAUGGAUAAAAUUGUCAUCCCUAUGUCCAAUGUGAUGUCAGGUAAACCCUGAAACUUGUCUCAAAACCAAAAAAUAAACCAUGAACUGGAGCUUUAGUUAGCCCGUUUCGUUGUUUCCCUCGCAUGGAAUAAAGAUCUUGAGCCACAAGUUGUGUCUGUGUGCAUGUCCAAGCAUAUGGGAGUGCAGUACUAGCUCUAGCGCCACAUUGCUGGGGUCGUGGGAUGGCACAAUCACCAAAUAGAGAGCGUGGCAAGAGAUUCAGGAGCUGAUCGAGCGGCCAGCUGAGGGCAUGUCCAAUGCCAAGACUCUUAUGCUGCUGCUAAUGCAUGGGUGCUUAGAUGAGGUGCUGAGCACAUUAAAUAGCUUAGCAACUAUACUUUCCAAUGCAUAGGUGCUUAGCUUAUGGUUGCUAAGCUUGCUUCAUUUAAUGAUUUAGCAACUAAAGUUCUUCAUGUAUUGAUGGGCUCAUUUCUUUUAAAUGUUUUGCCUAGGUUCAUGCGCUUAGCUGGUUCUUUCUGGGGUCACCACACUCAUCUCUCUCCUCUUAAAUAACUUGUCACAUCCAAAUUUUUGCCUACGUGAAAGGCUUAGCACCUGUACAAAGUGAAGCAUUGGGAGGGGCCUUAACUGGGCGCUUAACUACUGCCACCAAACUAAGCGCCUAUACAGGAGGCUAGCUUGCAACGCGUAAGUGCCCAACCAGGCGCUUAUUCCAUGACACAAAUCGCCUAAGCGUCCGGCUCCAGGUGUGGCAUCGGGCGCCCAGGAAUUUGGUUGGUGCCGUGAAAAUAGCUGGGAUUUUAAUCCCUAGCGCCUAUGUAAGCGUUCCCAUUGUGAUGCCCUGACACGUACGACAUCCUAACAUUGAGUAGAGCCUGUUCGACAACACUCCAGCUCCAAAACACGGCCGGAGCGUGCGGAGCGGUGUGGAACACAUCAGCUCUGCGGAUCUGAUAUUCGAGAGCGGAGCGGCGUGCAAUACAAUUUUGCGGAGCGGCCUGACCCUCGCUCCUCGUUUCAGUAAAAUCGAGAUCUGUUCAAAAUUACAGUGCCAUUAAUAGGGCCUCGCGGCGAAAAUGAGAUGCCCGAUUGGGUUUUGUAGGUCGCGCAGUCCCUUCCGCGUGGGCGUGGCGCUUGCGUAGUUGCGUUGCACGAGAGCCUCUCAUCCUCUCGCCUUCAAACCCCAUCCAUCUCCUCGAUCUUACCCCCCGCGGCCCCGCUCCCGCGCCCACGGCCAUGGCGUCUCUCUACCACUCCUCCCUCCCGCUCUCCCCGCCGUCCUCCAGCUGCCAUGGUGUCCUCUCCUUGGCCCCUCGAACCGCGGCGCCCUUCGUCUGCCUCUGCAGAGCGCCACCGCAAGACGACCACGACGCGGAGCUCCUCGGCGCGCUCCAGUCCGACGGCAAUGGCAGCCUCCUCAGAGAACAUCCCGCGUCAGCCAAAGUUCUAGAGUCGGGCUCUGCAGAAUUGGGUGACGGCAGCGGCGGCGGGAGGAGGAGCUCUCAGGCUCAGCUCCGGGCGCGUGACUGCGCGAGGCGGAUCAUGAGCCUCCCCAUGGAGGAGCGGGUGAAGGUGCUCGACCUCCUGCAGCGCGACGACGCGGCGCUCACCAUCUCCGACUACAACGACAUCAUCUCCGCGCUCGCGAGGGGCGAGGACUACGACUCCGCGGUCGCGCUCUUCAGGGCGCUCGAGCCCAACGGCGUCGUUGCCCCGGACGCCCACUCUUUCGCCAUCGCCGUGCAGUGCUUCUGCAGGAAGGGCGCGCCCGACGAGGCAAAGGAGACGCUUGACGAGAUGGUGGCUCGCGGUCACCUCCCCAGCGUCGCCGCCUUCUCCGCCGUCGUGGGCUGCCUCUGCAAACGUGGACGCGUCACCAGGGCCAUGGAGGUGUUCGACACCAUGCGUGCCGUCGGGAGCGAGCCCACCAUCCGCACGUACAACAGCCUCAUCGGCGGGCUCUGCUACGUCGGCCGCCUCGAGGAGGCGCGGGACCUCCUCAACAAGCUCAAGGACUCGCCCAAGCAGACGGCGGACAUCUACACCUUCACCAUUGUGCUGGACGGGUUCUGCAAGGUAGGCCGGACGGAGGACGCCAUGGCCAUCUUCGAAGAUGCCAUCCGGAUGGGCCUCUCGCCCACGAUAUUCACCUACAAUGCGCUGCUCAACGGCCACUGCAAGGAGGGGAACCUGCUGAAAGCGUAUGACCUGCUCAUGGAGAUGUGCGACAACGAUGACUGCCCGCCGGACAAGAUCAGCUUCAGCAUUGUGCUGCCGGCGCUGCUGCGGGCAGGCGAGAUCUCCGCAGCGUGGAAGACUUUCAAACGCAUGGAGCACGCCGGGUUCGAGGCGGACAGCCGAGCACUGGACACGCUGGCCCGGGGCCUAUGCCGGCAAUGUGCGGCGGACAUCUCGGUCCUGAAGGACGCCAAGGAGGUGUUCGGCAAGGUGGUGGCGGCCGGGCACGAGCCGGUGUCGUACACGUACUGCCUGAUGGCGCAGGCACUGGCGCGCGGCGGCGAGGUGGACGCAGCCGUGGCCAUAUUGGACGACAUGGUGCGCAAGGGGUAUGCGCUGCGGAAGCGCGCGUACACGGACGUGGUGCGCGCGCUGUGCGACCGCAGCAGGACGCACGACGCUCUCCGGGUGCUGGCCGCGGUGAUCACGAAGGACUUCGUGCCCGGCCGGAACGUGUUCGACGCGCUGCUCGAAGAGCUCAGCCGGCAGGGGAGGUGGCCCGACGCCAUGGCCGUGUACGGCGCUGCGGUGAAGCGGGGCGUCGUGGUGUCGCUGAAGCGUCACGUCAAGGAGGCGCUGGCGCGGGAUCAGAAGAAGGAAGAGGCGUGGGAAUCGCCCGCGCAGUUGUGUGUCCCAUAGUGAGAGAGGAGUGUACUGGAUCUGGCUUGACCGCUCCCUCCUCAUGCUUCCAUCCGUGUUCCUAUUUUAUUUUACGGCUGUUUUUUUUUUCUAAUCUAAUUAUCUUCUCCCCUGAUUUUAAGGGAUGGGGCCGGGCCUUAUUUUGUUUCAAUCAAAUCAUGCCACGUAUGCGGGAGCACGGGAUGGGAGCAUGUUGGGGGAGCAGGCAAGUCUCCCCACAAAUACCUUCUUCUUGGAGGCUUUCCAUUGGAUGCCGAAGACAAUGAUUUGAUUCUGAUGUGCAAAUGCCUCAUGGGUUCUCGUGAAAGAGAUUGUGGCAUCACUGCACCGGCAAUUUCAAUGUUGUUUCACAGAAAGGCGGUAGAACUGAGAUUAGGGCAUCUUCAACGCCAACCCGCAAAAAUUCUUCUGCGUUUGUCCGUAAAGAAGGGGGACCAAUUCACGGACACGAAUGCGAGAGGUAGUCAUCCAACCGUAGCCGCGUAUAUUUUCAUAUAAUAAUUAGAAUCAACUGAAUGAAAUUCGUUCAAACACGGCCGAAUUUCAUAUAAACAUGACGGAUUUCAUUACGAAUACAUUUAAAUGGUGCUAGCCUGUUAGGCGGGCUCUGAAGUAUAGUUUAUACCUAACCUAAAUGAUUGUCGGCAUCCGGUUUCUGUGUUUGACCAUCAACCCCAAGAACUGAAGCUUCACCGUCUUCAGUCCCGCCUCGUCGCUCUCCAGCCCCAUCUCCGUAACCUCCGCCUCAGGAGUCCUGGGAACUGAAGCUAUCCAUCUCCACGUUGUCGCCAAGCGAGUAAUCAGCCGAAGAUGCUCAACCCAUUAAGCUUGGCGUCGACGGGAGGGGAGGAGCGGUGGCCUUCCUGGGACACGAGUGAUGGCGACCUACCAUGCACUACUCUUUCUCGCUGCCAGCAGCGCCCGAGGACGUGCCGGCUCUUCGUGGUCGUGGCGCCCGGGCGCAGCCUCGGUGAUUUCCUCCUUGUCGGCCUCGCCGAACAAUGCCUCGCCCGCCUCGUCUUCACACUCCUUGCCAGCGGCCGCCACCUCCGGAACCCAUUGUCGGUACCGCCAGCGGGCUAGACGGAUCUUGCGGGCGGAGCGGUGGUACUCGAGCAGCGCCUCCUGCUCCGUCAGGUCCGCGUCCGGCGCGACUGUCCUGCCGGCGGUGACCUGCUCCUUCACCUGCAGAUGCUCCUGGAGGAGGUUGUGGUUGUAGUUGGCGUCAGCCUGCGUCUGUCGGAACUGCACCUCCCGCACCGUGUCCAUAUAAUGGGCACGGGACUCACCGAUGGUCAUGAUGCAAUGCACCGGCAAGGGUGGAUCAAAGAAGGGUGUCGCGAAUGUAGAGGAGGGUGGCGCUGGCUCGUCGUCGAAGUCGUUCUCCAUUUGCACGUCCUCCAGCUGCCUGCCGGCUUGCCAGUCCGCAGCAAUGGCGCUCAUGGCCUUCUUCUGCUCCGAUGUCAACCCGUCCCAGAGAGUUUUGGUGGUGGAGGGAUCCAUGAGGAGUGGUGUGGAGAUGGAUGACUGGCUAUGACCGAAGCACCGAGGCAGCGGUUUAUAUAACAUCGGUGGACGGCGCCGGAGGAGACACCUCGGUAACCGCAUGACAUCAAUGCAGGCGGCAGGCGGAAGGACGGCCAGUGUGUUGUUUGAACGUGCGACAGUCGUCGGCAGUGGGAAGAAGCGCGGGCGGCGCUCUCCCGGUCGAUGCCGGUGCGGUGAGCGUUGGCCGGGCAUGAAUGCGAGCGCUGACCCUCUGAAGCGGCGCAUGUCGAUAACACGCAGGAGGAAAGAGUGGUUUCUGGUAGGUCAGGGAGGUCCAAAGCGGGCUUGGGAUCAGUCCGGACUCCCACAAAUCUCCCUCAUUUUUAUCUUCGAUUUGCGGAAAAAACGAGUCCGCACCACACAGCGAACCGAUACAGAAUCACAUUGGAUGGUUUUCGUCGUACUCCGGACAGUUUGAGUGCACUUAGAGCAUCUCCAGCCGUUGGCCCCCCAGGGGGCGCCUAAAAUCGCCCGCUGGGGGUGAGCCGGCGCAAAAAAUCGGCCUGGGGCCGAGUUGGUCCCCAGCCGUCGGCCCCAGAGCCGUCCCCAGGCGCGUUCAAAAAAAUUAAAAAAUAUAGCAAAGUUCAAAGUUCGGCGAAGUUCGACAUAUAUUACAUUAAAAAUGCGGGUUUUUAUUACACAAUAUAUAUAAUUAAAAAAAGAACUGGCUAAAAGCGGAGUAGCCGCCGUCGCCGCUGCCGUCGUCGUCGUCCGGCUUCUCCUCCUUGACGUGGCCGUCCCUGGUGGACCCCUGACCGGCGUCGCCUAUGCGGGCUUGUGGCGGCGGCACGGCGGUGUCGUCGCUAUCCUCGAUGACGACGAUUCCUCCUUCGUCGCGGCCCCGGCGGCGCUGCGCGAAUCAUCGUAGGGCGGCGCACUGGCGCUCCCUCGCCAUCUUCAGGGAGUCCGCGCGCGCCCAUUCUAGGGCCGCGUCGUCGUCGAGCUCGACGUUGCCGCCGUGCUCCAUCUUCACCGUGGGAGGCCCGGCUCCGUCUUCAUCGGCGCCAGGCCCGGCUCCGUCUUGGGCUUGACGAAGCGCUGAGGAGCCGACGAGGGGGUGGGCCGACCGCCCUCAUUGAUGAUGACGCCGGCGCUGCGAGUGCGCCGGCCGAGCGGCGUCUCUGCCGCGGGCUCGGCCUUGACGCCGAGCAGCGCCGGAUGAGUGUGAGGAAGAGCGGGAGGAGGAGGAAGAAGAGGAGGCGCCUUACCUCCUGGGCAACCAUUGCCCGUCGCGUCAGUGGUGAGCCGUGGCCGUGGCGGCCGCCCUCGCCGGGGGGUAUGCCAACGGCGGGUCGUUGCCGCCCUCGAGGUACAUCAAAACGCCCUCGAGGGUGCGGCCGGGGACACCCCACCACAGGUGGCGUCCGUCGCCGUUCUUCGGUCCGGCCACCACCGGCGCACCGUUGGUGGACGCCAUCCUCUGCUGCUGCCGGCGCUGGAAGUACGCCGUCCACGCCGCUAUGUUGUCGGUGGCGUACUCGGGGAGGGCGAGCUGGGCGUCGGUGAGGGAGGCACGCACGACGUCGACCUCGUCGGCGAAGUAGCCCCGUUUCGCCACGGCGUUGGGCAACGGGGGAAUGGGCACUCCCCCGUUGCUGAGUCUUCACCCCGUUGGCCCGACGCGCAUGUCCGGCGGCGCCGGGAUGUUCACCUGGAACAGGAGCCAAGACUCCUGUUCGCGGAGCGAGCGGUGGCCGCGGCUUCAUCUCGGGGAAAUCGCUCGGCCAUCGGGAGAGGGAGGGCUCGGCGGCGGCGCUCGGGAGAGAUAGAGGGCGGGCUAGGGCUGGUGUGGCUGGUGUGGCCAGAGGCGAGGGAGGCCACCGGCUUAUAUCGCGGCGCCGCCCCGUGUGUACGCGUGCGAGGGAGAGGAGGCGUCGGCGCGCCGCCCGUGAGGAAUCAAUGGUAAGGCUGACCGGCGGCAGCCUUGCCAUUGAUUCCCCACGGGAAACCGAGGCGUUCGGGAAAGAAGACACGCGAUGUCGCUGAUGCGGCAGGCCCGCGGCUCGUUCGCGUCAAAACCGCUCGCCCCGGCGCCCCCGAGCGCCCCCAACGCGCCGAGUUCGACCUGUGUCCGCCGGCGCUAAAUUCGGCUCAGGUCAGCGAAAAUCGAGCUCCUGGAAACGCGACUGAGCCGAUUUUUCUGCGCCGCGUAAAAAAAGGUUUAAAAAAGCUUUUCUAAGGCGCGGCUGGAGAUGCUCUUACUUUCGUAUCGGUUGGGACAGGAGCAUCAGCAUCCAGUAGUGAUGAAUGAUUCGGUGUCGAGGUUGUACGUUGUUUAGAACUUGUAAUUAGAUGGAUAAGAGAGACUCAUUAGAUUUAUGUAUUGUUUUUUGAAAAUACUAACACCCACAUGUAUGGUAAUCUUGUAACUCGUCCACACAUGUGGAUCACUGUCUAGUUAAGUUUACACGAAUCUUGAUAGACACUGAGAUAGUUUUCACGUGCGAUAUAGGACGGGGCUGGUGUGUGGGUGUUGGAGAGUUUGCUCACGCCUUGCAGCACGUGGCCACCAUAUAGUGCAUGCGCGUGUGGGCGAACUGCUUUUUGCUCACACAACAUUCGUACAUUGUUGUACGGCGACUACAGUUACACGUAUGUGGCAACUAGGUAAACACACAUGACAAUUAUGAUUUGUUGUUAGACGGCAACUGCAGUUGUGCGUACGUGGCAACCAGAUAAACGCAUAUGGCAACUGCGAUUAACCAUACAUGACAACUAUGAUUAGACUAUAUAUGACAACUAGAUGAACACACAUAGCAACUACUGUUUGACUCGUACAUUGUUGUAUAACGACUACAGUUACGCGUAUGUGGCAACUAGGUAAACACACAUGACAACUAUAAUUUGUUGCUAGACGAUAACUGCAAUAACGCAUACAUGGCAACCAGAUAUGAUAAGUAGUUAAUCACACACGGCAACUAUGGUUCAAUUCCCGAAUGACAAUUAAAUCGUCAUCUAGCAGAUACCUCGCGUAGCUUACUAUGGUUCAAUUCCCGAAUGACAACUAAAUCGUCAUCCGGCAGAUACCUCGCGUAGCUAAAUCGUCAUCCGGCAGAUACCUCGCGUAGCUGCGUGCAACACACGCAAAUACCUCGCGUGCGUAGCUGCGUGCCACACACGCAAAUACCUCGCGUAGCGGCGUGCUUCGUGCCACACACGCGAUGUAGGGGUAGAGAUGAGUACUAUUUGUUGGAUGUGUGACACGAAGUAGCUGUGUGCUUCGUGCCACACACGCGAGGUAGGGGUAGAGAUGAGUACUACUUGUUGGAUGUGUGACACGAAGUAGCUACUUGUUGGAUGUGUGACACGAAGUAGCUGUACUCACACGUGUGGGCAAUUCAUACGUUCACCACAUACGUUCACCCACACAACACGUAUAGGUGUCUCCUGCUCACGCCACACACGUGAACGAACAGUCUAGCCCACAGCUGAAUUUGACAUGCAUCUUUAUUUAUUGACGACACCAGAACUCACAUGAACAAACACGUACUAGAACACAACACACACUAGCGACACAAACACGGAAACAGACGGCGCAAACACGCGCAUGAUGUACAGAAGUUUCGACCAGAAGAACACAUGUAAGAUCGAUCAUCUGCUAAAUAAAGCAUUAAGCAGAUGGCUAGCCGCGUGCGCUCACUCCCUCGCCACUUGCUUCAUAACAAACGGUUCCCUCUCCUUCCGCCCCUUCUCCUUCUCCGGCAACGGCGGCUCGAUCACCGCCACCGUCUGGGCCUCCACCACCUUCCUCAAUUCCUUCUGAGGGACGCCCAACCCGGCCGCGAGCUCCGGCCCGAGCAUCAUGCGGAGGACAGAGGUGGGGCCGGUCAGGAACUGCGGCUUGUUCCGCCGCGCCGACGUGGUGAACCCGAAGAACACGAACGGCCCGCCCCGCGACGCCACCUGGACGAACGGGAGGUGGCGUGGGAUCCAGAACACGUCGCCGGCACGCACCUCCGCGCUCAUCGCAAGCGACCCGUUGGGGAAGACCACCUGGAUGACGCCUUCCCCGGCGAGCACCACGCCGUACUCCGUUGCCCUCGGGUUCACGUGUGGCGCCAUCAUCGAGCCCUGCACAUUCCAGGCCACACCCACACGCAGCAUUGAUCAGCUUCGCCGCAGUGGUCUGAAAUCUUUACCGCUCUGAUGGAUGGUUCAGAAGAGCAAAAACGUACGGCGGUGAGGUCGACGAGAUAGACGCCGAUGUCGGAGUGGUCCAAGGGCUCGUAGUCGUGCUUGUCGACGGAGAUGCUCCAGCCAUAGGUGUUCCGGAAGCUGGGCUCGUGGUCGAACAGGUUGUAAGGCUCCGGCGCGCGCAGAGUCUUGUCCGACUUCUUGUUCAGCUCCCCUCCGAUGAACCUGCUCAUCAGUUUCCUCCACGACCAAGUCCAAGUGGAUUGCCCGCUACCGGGUUCGUCGUCGUCGCCUCUCCCCACUGGUCUCCAUGGCUCGCUCUCCCUUCCAUUUUCCCCCACAUCACGCUCGCCUCCCUGUCCAUGCUCUUUGCCACCGCUCCCGGACUCCGUUGUGUAGGACACGAAAGGGCCCCCGGUUCCACCGGUUCGCACGGGUAAGAUUCUUCCCAGUUCGUCGUAAGUGGUCUGAACACGAGACAUGAGAAACAAAAUAAUCCUGGUGCCAUGCGUGUGAAUUUGCUACUGAACUUAAAUUAAUGUGAAAUGUUGAGACGAAUUUAGCUAGCUCACGUUGAGAGCGGUGACAAGAAUCUUUGGCUCGAAUCCGGCCAGCACUGAGGUCUGUUUCCCUCCCCCACCAAGAUAGAAGGACU
rnacentral:lncRNA from 1 species